rnacentral:lncRNA from 1 species
GGGUGAGGUUGGUGUUUGGUGUGGUACCACAAGGGAAGGUAAAAAUGCAACCUUUCCUAGUUCCGUGUAUGAUUACUUGAUUAGUACUGUAUGCAGUAACAAGUAAAUAACUCGAGUCUGUGCAUACACUGCGGAGCGUCAGAAAUUGUACAAAAGAAUUCCUUACAAAGAAGAGGUUUUAUAUGUGCGAGAUCACUGCUGUUCCUUACAAAAAUUUACCCCACUGAUCUCUAGUUUCUCUGAAUCUAUCGCAAAGAAUCCGUCUCAUGUGGCCAUUUUGUAUGUCCAUGAUCUUCAGCUGCCGGAGGAAUCAGGAGUUCAGGAUCAUACUCUUUCAAUUCACAUGCGCGAAUAUCCCUCUUUUCCGACACCAUUGCCUCAAAUUUCUAAAGAUUCAGGUGCAGGCACCAUAUAGCAAUAUAUAUUGUACAACAUGAAAGCAACUUUUGGUACAUGCCAUCCAUGGAAUUGGUUCUGUUCCAAAUUGCAAUCCAGCUGAAUUGGAUUCUGUUGCAACCAUACUCACCAAAAGUUCACCAAGCAUUGUACCUGAAGAGCCUUGCUGGAUUUGCCUGCCCAGCUCAGGAUUGUGAAGAAAGCUCCAGCUGACAGGCCACCUUACCUACUGACAGGCCAUGUCUCUGUCAGGGCACUAACACCGCGUUAAAAAUGAUGCUCCAGUUUGCAACGCUAAUGGUGUGAGGUUAAAAGUAGGCAGGGUAGACAGAGCCCAGUCACCUCAGAGGGCAGGGUGCAUCAAUUAUUUGGACCGGACGGUUGUUGCUGGUCGUUGUUGGUCAUCAAGUGAGAUGUGGAAGUUGCAGUGUGCAAACUGUUGGCUGUGGAUGAAGCUUCUGUGAGAUGGAGUGACCAAUUAGCUUCAAGUUUUGAAGUGCCUUUUCUUUUUUUAUAAAAGCUAAAAUUAGGUGUACCUCUCACAAUUCAUGUAGGUUUAGGAUAAGGUCAUGCGCAGUGCACAUGUUGACCCAUUUGGGAUGUCUCUUUUUCAAGCUAGCUGUUUUGUGUGACUGCAGCAUGUGCGUUCACCCAGAAGUUUUAUCUGUCUGUAGACUGCACGCCACUGCUGGGAUACGUGUAUAGUACCUAGCAGGGACGGUUAAGAAAGUUGACAACAUUGACUAUAAUACAUCGGCGUGUACAAAAUAUACUGCAGCAAACACAUCAAAGGCAAGGACAAACCAACCCAUACGGUUCCUUAAAUCCGAACACAGAGAUGCAGAGCACAGUGGGACAACCCUUUUUCAUCAUCCAAGAUUGGUCAUCACAUGCAUAGGCACCAAGAGGCAAUUUGCAUUUUUUUUCUUCGUUAAAAGUAACUUUCAUACAGCUUUAAUAGGUUUAUAAAUUGUUUUGGCAUACAAAUACAAAAUAAACUGUCGUUGAACUCUCUAUAUUGAACUCUUGGGGGCAUUCUCCUCCUAACUUGGAGCAAGAAGAAACAUAGCUACAGACAACUCUCGCAGCCAUCAACUUACAAAACUUUUGACAACAUGAGUGCAUGCCCCCCUUUUUACACAAGCAUGACAAGGUAAAGGCCUCAACACCUUUUGCUGUUUCGCUUACCUAGAUACAAUAGUGACAGUUGACCUAAGACAAAAUUGCUCAAUUCUAAAGCAAUACCGCAUAUAUCUCAAGCUGAGGAUCAGUAAUCACAAAGGCAAGUAAAUGCGAUAUCAGUUGUGCCUGAUCAAAAAUCUAUCUCAACGCGGCAAAAUUGCCAAAAGCUCUGCCUUGUGUUGCAUACAGUAGUAUACCAAAAUUGCUAGAAUGAUAACUAGUAUCAUAGGCCAUACAUUUGAACCUGUCAAGACAAAAGCAUCCAUUUUUAGAAUAAGAAUUGCAAAGAAUGGCUGGGUGAAAUAAAUCUAAGAACCAAAGAUGCCUCAUACCAUUACUCUUAGGGGACCCAACUGACGUCACUCUUGCAGUUGAGUCAAAGGAAGUUGACAGCAAGGUUCUGAAAUGAUGUAAACCAACUACAUUGAGAAAUUGCAUUUUUGAUUUUUAGGACUCAACUGAAGUAGAUCUAACCUUGAAUCCUGGGAGAAGCCCAGCGUAGUAACAAUGCCAAGAUGUGCCUUUUUAACUGUUAUGAGUGUUCGCAUAUCUUUUGACCCUAGUACGAUGACGGUUCCUUCAAUUGUUCCACUGGGUAUCAAGGGCAAAACAUAAGAUUUCCAAGAAAAUACAGCCAUGUUAUCUCCUAAAGCUGAGUACCUAAAUGGAAUGAUGGCAACAAUAUUAUUCCAUGCUCACAUUGCCAGAAGAGCACCAUCAGGUGACACAGCGAAAGCUGAAAUAGCCUCUCGAGUUAUUUUCUUUGAUCCAACUCUUGUCCAUGAGGUAGUAUCCCAAGAUAUUAUUUUCCAAUAGUCACCUAAAAAUCAGCAUUAUUUUGUUAUUGUCAUGCUUCAAGCUCAUUAACAAAUGUGAUUAGUAACAAGGUCAACUUAAAUCUUAAUGUCACCUUGCAUUGCAGCUAUAAAUAAGACGUUACUAUUGUCAGUCUUAUUGGAGAAUCUGCAGAAUCCAAAUAUUUCUCCCUGGAAAUGUACAGAUCAGCAACUCACUUAAACAAGAUACAAAAUCAUUAAAUUAAUGACAUUGAAUCGUUAACCUUAUGAAUUCUGUCAAAAAACAACACUCACUGCUUCUCUUGGGAGAUUAGCUACAACUUCGGAUGACAGCAAAUCCCACACUUUACAUGGACCACUGCUCCUAUUCACAGCAAGAAACUUCUCAUCGGUACUGAAAGCAGGUUUUAGAAGCACAAAAAUUCCAUCAGUAUCUUGCAAAUAAUAUUAAUAAGGGAAUAUAAGUUUGAUUGCCACUUCUUCACCUGAAACUAAGAUCCUUAAUUGAGGUUUUAGUAUCAGCUUCUGUGAGAACAGACUCCAAGGCAGGCCAUUUGAAGACCCUUAAAUGUCCGUCCUACAAAAAUAUAGAAACAAAUGAAGACAUGUCAAUAAUAAAACAAUUCCAGUGCCAUAACAGAACCUCCCUGAAACAAGAAACUAUAAACAAAUCCUCAAAGCAUAAAUGCAAGAUCAUGCUUAAUAAAGUUAUCACUUAAAUGAAGGCAAACCAUAUUUGCAUUACUAUAAUGUAAAAGCAAGGCCAAGUGUUAGGAAUUUUCUGCCAGCAAGAAAUGAUUAUUAAAAACCCGUCAACAAUGGAUAAACCUACAGAAACUGAUAAGCAUAGACUUGCUUAAAUAUAGCUUAAGGUGAUGAAGCAAUCACGUAUAAAACAGUAGCCAAUGAAAUCUGGAAAAGCACAUCUCAAGAACUACUCAAAUGUUAGCUUGUCUCUCAUGUUAAAGUGCUACAAUUUUGUUCAAUUACUAAAGACACCCUAGCUUUACAUUCUUGCCAAAGAAUUCUGUGCCAUGAAGACCAUGAAACAAGAAGAAUCUCUUUGGCUAACAUAAAAAGUAUACAGCCACCUCUUCAUAGAAUCCUCCAUAACAAAUGUUGUCAAUUUUGUCAAAUGCUUGUUUAGUUGCUUAAACGAGUUAAUUAUGUGGCUACAUUAGCAAGUAUGCAAAAGUGUAGCUCAUGAUGACCACAGAAUGUAGUUUACAUUGCUAGCUGCAUACGCCAGAAGAAUAGCACCCCUACAAGCAACUAGAUCUAUCAGAUCUUCGUAAGACAUUGUUUGACUUUUGUGAUGUCAGAAUAAGCAGAACAAAAACGAAUAAUCAUAUCUUGCUUAGCUUAUGAAAUAAAGUUGAAAAUAGAAUAAUUUCCAAACUAGGUACUUGAAGUACCUAGAGUGUUCCUUCAGAUAUAUUCACAACAGAAAAGGAAUAAUACUCCUAAGGAACAAAAGUACUAAAAUAUCUACAAGAACUAGUAAACAGUAAAAUCAAUGAAAAAUAUGCCAUAUUAACUUACCUCACCACCAGUGGCAAGUAUUGAACCUUCUCCACUGAAUGAUACGGCCAACUGCAAACCAACAUCUGUUAGCUCCGCUAAUGCUUCCUGGUCAGCCUCCAAAGCUAGGUUACGUGGUUCGUCUCCUUCCUGUGAUUCCCAUCGAUACAACCUACAUGGGUGUUUUCAUAGUUAAAACUACGGCAGGAAAAAUUUACAAGUUAGAGGGAGGGGGAGGGGGAGGGGGGGGGGGGGGGGACAUCCUCAUUAUCUUUUGCAGCUGCUACUUUCUGAACCACUAAUUCAUCAAUAAUAACUAAGCAAGCUGCAUGGCCGAACAAUGCUUCGAGAUAGGCUACCAAAAUACCAAACAGGACAGUAAAUUAGAUAUAGAAGCAGGAACUAAUCUAACAUGCCUCAACCUGUUAAAGAAGAAUCUUGCAUGGAAAGGCUAGGCUACAUAACAAGACAAUUCACAAAUACCACAAUCCCCUUCAGGCCAUGUCACUUGUUACCAAAAAGAAUCAACAUCAGAAACUAUCUUCUCGAAUAGAAUUGGCCUAGGCUACAUUACAAUGCAUUCCUUGGAACCAAAAACAAAACACUAUCACUAGUCACAACUUAUUUGACAACCGAGUAGAAUUUCACAAAACAAUCCCAACUAACUAUUCCGAGCUUAAGCAACACAGAAGCAGCAAAUUAACUGAUUACAUUACCGACACAAGCCAUAGAAGGAUACAAAUGUAUCACAUUUUGAUCACCAGCACAAAUCAGAAUUCACAACCAACAAGUACCAAUAUCAAGCAACAGGAGCAGACGCACACGGCGUACGUGCGCAUCGAGUAUGGAACUCCAAGGACGUGACCCGAGGCGAGGAGGGCACCAACCUGCAUCCGUUGGGGAAGGCGCAGAGCACGCCGUCGCCGCGCGGGUGGACGGCCAUCCUAUACGGCACCUCCUCCUCGGUGUUGACCUCAACAACCUGCCCAACACCGCCACGAGACACCAGAUAAGCACGGGAUCCUCACACACGGCCUAGAUCGGCGCAGGAUCUGGGAUGGGACGGAUCGCUCACCGCUUCAGGGGAGAGGGCCGCCUCUUCCCCCGCCGCAGCGGCGGGGUCCAGCGCGGCCACGACGAGCUUGUUGGGCACGCCGCUCCGGCCCUCCCCGCCGCCGCCGCCGAGGGCGGCCAUCGGGGGCGGCGGAGGGGAGGAGGAGGCGGCAUCCGCGUCCGCAUCGGUGGCGGGAGGGUCCGGAUUGACGAUGUGGGCGAGGGGGAGCCAGGCGGCGCAGUAGAUCGGGAACCCGUAGGACUGCCCGCCGCGGGCCGCCAUCGCCGCCGGCCUGCGGGGGAGAUGGGUGAUGUCGGUGGUGGUGGUCGCCGGAGAACGCGCGGCUGACGGUGGGGGAGGUGUGCGCGUGCGGAGGUGAUGGCGUGACGCUGACGCGGUUGUGCAAAGGAUGCGUUCUUGGUUGACCACUUGACCUUUCCCCUCUAAAAAAGUGUUUCCAACGAGGAUCUUGGUCAAAUGUUAGUGUUAGUACACCAAAAAGUUAAAAAAAAUCUAAAAAAAAUACAAAUUGUUUUUAUUUCUAAAUUGAUCCUCAUUUCAUAUUUUAAAUAUAAAAUAUAAUAUGUUUGGUUGUUUGCUCUAUGUUCUAGCCCUAUUCAUUUUAUACGCCUUUUCUCGUGUGUUUGUCGAUUUAACAUUCUUGUAAACACAUAGCAUGGUAUGCCAAAUUUAUGAAUUAAGAAAAAGAUGAGCGAUUAUAAAGAAAAUACUUGACUUUGUGAUGUUUGCUCAACAAGCUUUGUAGAUUAUUUGUAUGCCAAAUAAUAAUUCAAAUACCUACUAUACACACACACACUGUAUUUCCUUCUUCCAGAGAUCCUUUUUCUGAUUUAUAACAAUAAUAAUUAUAGAAGAAUAAAGGCAUACCUUAGCAUUGUCUUAUUACAAAGUAAUUCUGUCACAACAAAAUGAUUUCACAAGUAGGGAUGGAAAUGUGAAAAUGGAUAUCCGAAUUAUCUGAAUCCGUAUCCACUAAAACAACAAAUAUGGAUAUUCGUAUUCAUAUCCGAAUUUAAUAUGGUACUAAAAUGGAUAUAUUCGAAUUCGUUUUUCUUGAUUUUUUCUAUCCGAUUCCACAUUUGUAUUCAACAAUAUCCGACACUAUCCGUAUCCGACCAUAUGAAACUGCUAGUUAUCUCUAUAACUAAUGAUAAAUGAUGUUACUUUAAAUAUUAAUAAUGACAAUAUAUCAUUCAAACCAUUCAAAAUUUAUUUUUAUAACUAAUAGUUAAUUAUAUCAAUUUUUUAUUACUAAUAUUGUACCCAUAAAACUAUUUAAAAUUUAUCUCUAAUUUUAGUGACCAAUGUCAUUAAAUUUAAUAAUAAAUAUUUAUGUGAGUAUUAAUUUUAUUUUUAAAUACUCUAGUUUAUCUAUUUAUUAAUAAAAACAUUUUUUGUACAAUUUUUAUUAUUCAUUGAUAAAUAUUUAUAUUUAUUAAAAUAUAUAUUUAUCCAUAUAUUAUUGUUUCAUAGAUUGCACUAAAAUCAAAUAAUUAUUAAUUAAUGCAGUAUUUUCAUGAGCAAUUUUUGUUUGCACUUACUCAUACUUUGGUCUCUACUUGUAUAAAAGUUUUGUUAUUACAACCAUCAACAAAUAAACUAGAUAAAUGUUAUCUUCAAACCGAGUAAAUAUUCGAUGGAUAUCCGAAUUAAAGACAUUUGUUUUGUAUUUGUAUUUAAAAAUAUCCAAAUUCGUAUUCGACUUAAAAUGUGAUAAAAAUGCUACCCGAUGCGAAUUGGAUCCGAAUUUCAUCCGUAUUCACAAGCACAGCGAUGAGCGAUCUCAUCGACCUGUCUGAUCGGACGGUUAGCAUUCACCGUUGCCAUUGCCAAGUCGCUGCCCCGUGCGCCCCAAAAACCCCACCUUUUCUUAUCCCCGUCACCUAUCCGCCGGCCCGCCGCCCGCCGGCCACCUCCACCUCGCCGGCGAGAUGCUGACCUGCGGCCGCUUCCUCUCCUCAUCCGCCGCCACAACCACAGCUUCCUUUUCUCCGCUCCGGACCCUGACCCGCUCCCUCCUCCGCCGCCCCCAUCCCCGCCUCCUCUUCUGCUCCUCCGCCGCCGCCGCCACGACCGCCGUCGAGCCCGACACCAAAGGUAAGAGCUUUAGCCUUCUUUCGUUGAUUCGUUCGUAGCCGUACAUCUAAGCUUCGGUUUUGGCUGCAGUCGGCAGCGGCGCGGGUGCAGGUGGAGGUGGUGCGGUGAGGCCGCAGUGGAAGGCGUCGAUUGACUUCAAAUGGAUCCGGGACAACCGGGACGCCGUCGCUGACAACAUCCGGAGCAGGAACUCCGCUGCGAACCUCGACCUCGUCCUGAAGCUCUAUGACCAGUACCUCGCGCUGCAGAAGGUCAGGAGCUUUCACAAUGUCGUAGCUCUUUGUUCCAAUUGCUCAAGCUGUCUGAUUGUGCUUCGUUAGAUUGGGCAAUAGUCCAACUGAAAGCUUGCACUGUGAGUAGUUCAUGUUCUAGUGCGUGGAUUAUGAUGCCUUCGAGUGGUGUGCAGAUGGUUGCUACAAUUUUCAUGGAAUCCCAAUUUUCUUCUGAAUUUACUUUUAAACUGUUGUUUCAACUGUCCAAUGGUAUGGUUGACAAACUAAGCUUGUACCUUGUGGUAUCCUUCUGGCUAGCAAAAAUUAGAAACUGAACUUAAAAAUUGGACAUAAAUCGUGAUGUUUAUUUGUAGCAAAGAUAAUUUUGUGUUUAGCAUAAGUCACAGUUUUUUUAUACAUUAGAUUGACAUUCAAGCACAUAGCCCACUAAUUCCAUGCAAAUUCAAUGCUCACUAAAGGUGAUUUAGAGUGGACAAACCCAUUGCCCGUGAAAGUUGAAUGUAGGAACUCAUACUGACCUGGUGCUUGUUAUGGAGCUCUUCCAGACAUACCUUAUAAUAAUGCAUUGAUGUUAUGUCAACAUUGAAUUAUAAUGAAUAUGUACAUAUUCUUGAAAGCUCAACCUUUAGAUGGCUUUGUUUUUGUUUUUUCUGAAUUGAGUCUGUCCUCCAUUUCCAUUAACAAGAACGGAAAUACAACAGAGUUUUAGAGUUUACAGCAAUGACAUAGAAAGAGAGACAGUUUGACCUCUAACCGCAUCUUACCUCUAGUGUAAUCGUUACCUGUUUCAGGUAGAGACACUACUAACAAGUAAGAUCAAAGAAACCCAUUAGGCACGCCUAUUAAAAUUUGAAAGCUAUGUAACCAAAACAUGACAGAAACUACACAGGUCUAUUGGCGACGAUGCUUCCAGUUUCAUCCCAAUUGCCAUCUUCUGUGUUCAGCUGAAUGAUCUGUAUUGUUCCAAUCAUGCCCCAGAGUUCUCCUGUGCCCGAUUUUAGGUGGCUUUGGUUGACCCUUAACUGAUUUAAGACUGUCCUCUUGUCAAUUUGUCUUUUAUGAUAGCAAAGCUAAAUUGCGAAAAUUUUAAGAUCCUCAGGUUCUUAGUGCUUGUUCAUGUGCAAUUUUGUUAAUGGUGUACAUCUGCUAGUUCCCUUUAAAUAGUUCCUUUAUAGAAGUUUUAUCUUCUGCUGAGGACAUAUAUAAUAGUUAAACAUGUUUCUAUACACACAAUUGCUGAACACAGUUGGUUAUUCAGUUCCAGACUGUUCUUUUUUUUUCGAAAGUGCGGCAGAUUUUCCGUGAGAGUUUAUUAGAAGUUCCAGACUGUAAUAUGGUGGUAACAGAAACAUGGCAACAAUUUCUAAUUAUGACAGAUGGCAGGAGGUUGAACGGCUCCGAGCUGAAAGAAAUGCAGUUGCUAACAAGAUGAAAGGGAAACUAGACCCAUCUGUGCGCCAAGCCCUUGUUGAAGAAGGUAUAAUAAACACUUUUUAAAGUUCGAGCAGGAAGUUAAGGAUUUUUUUUACUUAUUUGAGUUUUUACAGGCAAGAACCUGAAAGAGGCACUUAUUGGACUUGAAGAGGAUCUUGUUGAGCUGACCGAUAAGCUUCAACUUGAAGCACAAAGUAUUCCUAACGCUACACAUCCAGAUGUUCCUGUAGGCGGUGAGGAAAGCUCUGUUGUCAGGAAGGAGGUAGCGUGUUGCUGUAUAUAUUUCCUGCUGCCUUCACUUUGUAGAUCAAUAAUUUCUUUUGUUUGAACUGUGUAGGUAGGAAGUCAGAGGAGCUUCAAUUUCACAAUCAAAGAUCACCUUCAGCUGGGAAAGGAACUUGAUUUAUUUGAUUUUGAUGCAGCAGCUGAGGUAUAGCUCUGACAACUUUACUUCCACUCUAUAUUUAAAGAGUGAAUUCCCUCAAUGCCAUUGGAAUUUAUAACGAUUCCCUCAAUGCCAUCGAAAUUUUUCUCUUCCCUGCACUGCCACUGUUUCUAAUUUCCUUUCCCUUCAUUGCCAUUCCGUUAGAUUCUCCAUCCAUAUGACACUGACAACGUGGCCCCACUGGAACCUUAUCUAUAUGACCAUUGACGGAAUCGAGUUCUAUUAGCAAUCGGCGUUCUCGGCUCGCCGAGGUCAUCUGGCCAGACAGCCCUGCCGCCGCAGUCAUCAUGGGCCAGGUUUGAGGCCGCGUCUGGGAUCCCCGGCAUCGUCGGCGCUGUCUGCACCACGCGCGUCCUCAUCGUCGCGCCCAAGGCCAAUGUUGCCGCGUACACGUACGCCUCUAGUGGAGAGGACGAGCUGAGACGGAAAAUCUAACGGAAUUGCAAUGAAGGGAAAGGAAAUUAGAAUUAGUGGUAGUGAGGGGAAGAGAAAAAUUUCGAUGGCAUUGAGGGAAUCGUUAUAAAUUCCAACGGCAUUGAGGGAAUUCACUCAUAUUUAAACACAUUCUAGAAAGUUGUUGACUAAGAGGUUUGUUGGGACUUGGGACACCCAAAGUCAAACUGCAUGACAUUAAGUAAAUAGGUCUGAAAUUCUCUAUGAAAAUGGAUCUAGUUAGUUUGUCUAUGUUAUGAAAUUCUUAUAAAAGUGGAUGUAUUGUUGGGUCUUUCUUUUUUACAAAAGAUCCAUACUGUGUUGCACAGGUCAGUGGUUCAAAGUUCUACUACUUAAAGAAUGAAGCUGUUUUGUUGGAGAUGGCUCUUGUAAAUUGGGCUAUCUCGGAGGUCGCAAAGAAGGGUUUCACACCACUCAUAACUCCAGAGAUUGUACGGUCAUCUGUUGUUGAGAAAUGCGGCUUCCAGCCAAGGGCCCAAAAUACUCAGGUAUGAUCUCCCUUGUUAAGCAUAGUAUUCACUAUUAAUUAUUUAUAUCAUAAAUGGCAUGAGAAUAGCCACUCAAGCACCCCUUUGGUCUAAUGACUAGUUUUUGCUAUUGUCAUAUGUUUGCAUUAUCAACUGUUUGGUAUUGUGGAGUAUUCCCUGUGAUCACAAAAGUUUUUCUGUUUUGGGCAUCUAUGGAGUCUCCAAAACAUAAGAUUAGCCACUAAUUCUGUUAUAAUAUAUUUAUUAAAAAGUAACAGGGAAGUCAUAAUAGUUUGAAAAGUGGAACUACUUUUCAAGAUGACUCUAAUCCUAUCAUUUCAAAUCUUCAAUCUCAAAAUUCAAAAGGAUAUCAAGAGCCAAAUUUUAUAAAACUUGACCACACGUGUCCCAAAAUUUCACCCUUUACUGAGUAGGAGUAUUUGUUUGCCCCUGAUAUGCCCUCUAGGUUUCUGUGGCAUUCUUUGCUUUUCAAAUUUCAAUACCUUCGUUUCUCUUCCUCAGAAGGGUACAUUUGAGUUCUAGUUUUACUGAUGCUAAUAUGAUCUCUUGCACUCUGCUGUGUAGGUCUAUUCAAUUGAGAACAGCGAUCAGUGUCUCAUUGGAACUGCUGAAAUUCCUGUUGGAGGCAUCCACAUGGACUCAAUACUUCUCGAAUCUGCUUUGCCUUUAAAAUAUGUAGCCUAUUCACACUGUUUCCGCACGGAAGCUGGUGCAGCAGGUGCUGCUACUAGGUUAGUCUGUUCUCCUUUCGCCUUAAAGAUUAUGACUGAUUGAGUUUAUUGAUUUAUGAAAUUUCAGCAUAGCAUGAAAAAGUAGGUGUAGUGAGAUUAUGUGGUUCAAUUUUUUUUAUUUGAUUUAUGAAAUUUCACCAUAGCAUGAAAAAGUAGGUGUAGUGAGAUUAUGUGGUGGUUCUAUUUUUUGAUGGCAUAAAACAGUAAUUGAUAAGCAGUCUAUUUUUUGAUGGCAUAAAACAGUAAUUGAUAAGCAGACUUUUCACUUGCUCUGCAUUGAGAUUUAUUUUACAGUGCCUUUGUAAAGUUGCUACGUUUAUGUCCUUUUAUCCUGAACAGGGGCCUCUAUCGAGUACAUCAAUUUAGCAAGGUUGAGAUGUUCAUAUUCUGUCGACCAGAGGAAAGUGACAAAUGGCAUGAAGAACUAAUUACGAUUGAAGAGGAUCUUUAUGCAUCACUUGGACUUCAUUUCAAGUACAUCCUGUUCCUCUUAAUUUGUGUGCCUUAUCUGUUUUGGAGAUGGAAUUUCAUUGACACGAGUGUAAUACCAAUGCCAAUAUUCUUUUUUUAAUAGAACUUUGGAUAUGGCAACUGGGGAUUUGGGUGCACCAGCUUACCGGAAAUUUGACAUUGAAGCGUGGAUGCCAGGCCUAGAGCGAUAUGGUGAGGUAAGGGUUCCAGGCCUCCACAUCUACCGUUUCCUGCUCAUCCCAUUUCAUUCAGUCUUUUUGAUAGUUCGUGAUGAAAACUUGCAGAUCUCCAGUGCAUCUAACUGCACAGACUAUCAAAGUAGGCGGCUAGGCAUCCGUUAUCGUCCAGCACCCACAGAGCCUCCACCGGCGAACGCCAAGAAAGUGAAGGCAGCUGGCGGGCCAACUCAAUUUGUCCAUACACUCAACGCAACAGCUGUUGCAGUGCCUCGUCUGAUAGUAUGCAUUCUGGAGAAUUUUCAACAGGACGACGGGUCGAUUGUGAUUCCAGAGCCUCUAAGACCCUUCAUGGGUGGACUCGAGGUGCUCACCCCAAAAUCUAAGUGACCUACAGUCACCCACAGUUGAGCUUGCGGUAUCCGUGAAAAAUUGAGCUGGAUGGAUAACGUAGAAAUGAACUGAGGGUCAUUUGAGUUUUGUGAUUUGGGCUCCUGUUUCAUAACAUGCCUUAAAUGAUCUUUUUUCUUUUCGUUCUUGAAUUCAUGUAAGCUAGCACAGAUUAUAUUGGCCACCUACUCUGCAUAGCAUUUACAAAGAUUAUGCCUUCACUUUGACGUGAAAGAAUGAAAACUGGCACAUCUUUUGGUACAUGGAUCGGACCACCUAGUCUCCUUGAAGCACGUCUGUGUGUUUUUCUUCUUUCGAAGAUCUAGCAAUGGAAUGCUGAGGGAAAAGAAGUACAAGAAUGGAGCUUCUGAAACUUUGAUAAUUUCUUCACCAGGAAACUUUGGUAACUUCUCAAAGAUCUAGCAAGGGUCUGCCGACCGAAAAGGAGUUCAGAUCGAGCUGGAGUCUCGAUUCCUGAUUGGAUUGGAAAAGAGACGACGGACGCCGAGAUUGAUCAUAUCCCUAACCUAGCUCUGCCUCUAAGCUACAAAGGUCGAGUGCGAGGCUAACCGCCGCGGAUCGAUUGAGUCCUCAUCGCAAUGAAGAAACACAAAGCAUCGAGCUCACGGCGCGCGGAGGCGCAAUAAUGGGGCCGAAGCGAAAGCGACGACGAUUGCUGCAACUGGCCGCAACGGCGGCGGCGACGGGGCUCCGACGGCGGUGAAGGCGGUGGCAUUGCCGGUGGAGUUCCUCAGGUGGUUCCUGGCGCAGAGCAGCGAGGACUACCGCGUCCCGGCCCUCGACGACUACUCGCCGUCGCUGGGACGCCGCCGAGGAGCGGGAGACGACGGUCCGCCGGGUGAGCGCCGACGCCCAGGCCACGAAGGAUGGCUUCGCCGCGUUCCAUGCUUGGGUCCGCGGCGUCGCCGACAAGGACGGCCGCGUCGUGCUCGGGCGCACGUCCAACCCCCGGGAGCUGCAGGAGAUCAUCGACGGCGAGUGGGCAGAAGCGAGGUGGGAGCUCGGCAUGGGGGAUGGAGAUGGAGUUGUCGCCGGUUCUGAUGACGCUGCCGGCAAGGAGGACGGUGAGGGCGCCAUGGCGUCGUCGUCGUCAUCGUCCAAGAUGAUGAGGGUCCCACGCGGCCCGCAUCUGCAAACCCUGUCGAUCUACCUGUCUCUGAUCUACCAGCGCAUGACAUAAGUUUUUGGUUAGGGUCGUUCAUGUCACGUAUAUCCAUGUCGUAUCUAACUUAGGCAGUCUCGGUGGGAGUUUCCUGAAGAGUUUCAUGGUCAAUAAAUUCCAUACCACAUGAGCAAUUUUGCUGAUUUGGUAAGAUCGUAAAGUAAGGUCUUUACGAGGAGAUUCCAUUGGCAUCCAAAAUCCCCUACUUGAGUGAAGUGGUUAUGCUCGGAGUUACCUUCACGCUUCAUGAUAUUUGUAUUUCUUAAUAUAUACUUAAAAAGGGACUGUCUACUGGUAACUCGGGUGUUAUUCUGACCACAAUCACCCAGGUGAUUUAUAGGGGAAUAACACCCGGUUUUGAACUGGAAAAAAAUCCAGGUGCUGCAAAGAGAUCUGUCACCUGAAAGUUCUGACCCUAAGAUUCUGAUCAGACGAUUAACAAAAAAGAUUAUAUAAACAAGGAAAAGCAAAAUAGCUGAACAUAUUUUUUCUAUGGUCAGCCAAAGAACAAAUAAUUCUGGGUUAGUGGAAACUCUAAAGAUGCAAACACAGCAUGCAAAUUUACACAGAUUUAAAAUUACGCAAUAUACAAAUUGAAAUUACAAUAACAAUAUCACUGUAAGUAUAGUGUAAAUCAUUAAGGGGGCGUUUUCUUCCAUUGACUUAUUUUUAGCACGUGUCACAUCGAAUGUUUAGAUACUAAUUAGGAGUAUUAAACGUAGACUAUUUACAAAACCCAUUACAUAAGACGAAUCUAAACGGCGAGACGAAUCUAUUAAGCCUAAUUAAGCCUAAUUAAUCCAUCAUUAGCAAAUGUUUACUGUAGCAACACAUUGUCAAAUCAUGGACUAAUUAGGCUUAAUAGAUUCGUCUCGCCGUUUAGAUUCGUCUUAUGUAAUGGAUUUUGUAAAUAGUCUAUGUUUAAUACUCCUAAUUAGUAUCUAAACAUUCGAUGUGACGGGUGCUCGGAAGAAAACGGGGCCUAAGAAUCCUAAUGUAUAUGGAAUCCUAAAGUUAGUUACUAAUAUAAUGUAUAACGAAAGGAGAGAGGCAGGAGAGAUCCUUGGCAGGCAGGCAGAGGGUUUGAAUGAGGAGCAGGUCCGGUCGUCAGACCGCAAACUGCUGCCAAAAAAUUAAAUGCGCUGCGAUCUCGCAAAGAUAGGAUAGCACCCCCCACCGCUGUAUCUACUGGUACUCCGACUCGCAAUAAUCACGGGGCGGCGUACCCGCCGCCUGCAGAAAAGAAGCCCAACUUUGAUUUGGAUCAGAACGGAGGAAAAAAAAACAGAUCGUCAGAUCGGACGGUGCCAAAUUCAGGUGACAGGAGCUCGUGAAUCACCCAAGCAACGUAUAGCUUUUCCCCUUAAAAAAGUAUGUCAACCUAUGUACGAUGUAGAGUUACUAGUCGUGACGAAACAAACAUUUACCAAACACACUUGAGCAGAUAGAUCAAUCAACACUUUCCUUCUUCCUUAUUUAUUAUAGAAGUACAAUUCAUAAUUGAUCUAGAAAAGGCCAGAACCAAUGAUUGGUUGCUGCAAGAAAGCGGCAGGGUUCAUCGUAGCAAGUGGGUUGAUACGCAGUAGCUGUUGUUGUUGCCAUAAGGCGGUGGGGUUCAUCGCAGCAAGUGGGUUGAUGCGCAGUAGCUGUUGUUGUUGCCAGAAAGCGGCGGGGUUCAUCGCAGCAACUGGGUUGACACGCAAUAGCUGCUGUUGUUGCCAGAAUGCAGCGGGGUUCAUCGCAGAAAAUGGGUUGACACGUAGUAGCUGUUGUUGUUGCCAGAAGGCGGCGGGGUUGCCAACAGCAAGUGGGUUGAGUGGAAGCAGCUGCUGUUGCUGCAAGUAGGCAUUCUCCACGGCUAGCUGGUUGAAUGGAAGCAGCUGUUGGUGUUGCCAGUAUGCGGCGGGGCUAGCCAAGGAUAGUCGGCUGAAUGGUGAAAGCACCUGGUGUUGUUGUGCCAUGAUGCUCUGUAAUGUCAAAUGCGCCAAGUAUUGCUGCUGCAAUAGGGCGGACUGUUGUUGUAAGAACACGGCCGGUGAUGAUAAGAUGCUUGCCGCGAGAGCCUGUUGUAGCCUGUAGGAUUGCGCAAUUGGGUUUCCAUAUCCCAGUGCUGUCACAUGAGGGAGGUACUGGGGAAUAGCGGCAGAGCACUGCGGAAUAAGGACGGCAGUUGCAGCGCUAGCUGAAAGAGCAAGGAGCACAAGCAGGGUACAUAUCUUGGCCACCAUUGUUGCCACUACGAGGCUGCUAGUGGGGUUUCAAUUUCUGAGUUGCUAAUGGGUCUUAAUGAAAUGGGUGAUAGAUUGGCUACAUAUCCGGGACCUAUUUAUACUCUUGAGAGAUCAUAUAGCUCUAGCAUGAUUUUUGCUUUUCCUAAGCAAAUUAUUAUCUAGAUAACCAAGCCAUGACAUGGUAUCUAGUCAAUUUCAACAUUUUGUGAUUAAUUUUCUUAGGUUGUACGGUAUGUGUUGGCAACAAAAUAUGCACUUAAUAAAAGGAAAAAAGUGACUUUUCUUGUUGGUAUUUUCUUGAUACCGUGGGUGACAAUAUCAUCACAAGUUCACCAUAAGACAUGUGAAGGCAUCGGUCACAUCAUACGCGUUCCACUUUAUUAAAGAGAGUCUUUAAAGUUGUGAUAGGGUGAUGUGGAUCUAAAUCUUUUUAAGCUGAAUUUGUCACCUAUCUAAAGUAGGAUAUGUUCCAAGAGCCAUUACUCAUGGAUGAAAGGGAUAAGGAGACACAUUGUUGAGUGAAAAAUACGCUAUGACGAAAAGAACCCCAAACAUAAUCUAAGAAAGGGAAGGCAGCUGGCGGGCCAACUCAAUUUAUCCAUACACUCAACGCAAGAGCUAUCUUUUUUAGCUAUCUUUUUAGUAGGAGAAACCCAACCUACUUUUUGUACAUUUUUUUAUUCUAGAUCACUUUAAUUUGCUCCCACGGAGAGUCGAACCACUAUACUAGAGGCUCCUCUUCUGAUAGCGUGCAUUCUGGAGAAUUUUCAGUAGGAAGACGGGUCGAUUGUGAUUCAAGAGCCUCCAAGGCCAGUCUCUGUGCACAGUUUUAUUGCACUGAGUCUGAUGGGUUUUAUGGGGAUGAAAUUGCUCUCUCAUCUAAUGAAACUCUCUCUCCUCUCUUAAUGAUCCUGCCAAGUUAGCAAAAUUGCUAAUGUACCAUAGAAUUUAAUGCUAAUGAAACUCACAUGAAAUCCACUAUUGAGACUGGCAUAAUAAGACCCUUUGUGGGUGGACUCAAGGUGCUCACCCCAAAAUCCAAGUGAUCACCUACACAGUCACCCACUGUUAAGCUUGCGGUAUCCGUGAAAAAUUGAGCUGGAUGGAUAACAUACGAGUGAACCGUGGGUCAGUAGAAUAUUGAGUUUUGUGAUUCGGGCUGUUGUUUCAUGACGUGUCCUAAAUGGCCUUGUUUUUGUUCUCGAAUUCAUGUAAAGCUAUCACAACAUUAGAUUGGCCGCCUACUCUGCGUAGCAUUACAAAGAUUAUGCCUUCAAUAGUUCGCUUUGAGGUGGAAGAAUGGAAACAUGUGCACCAUCUUUUCAUUCGUUCAGCUUUUACUUCUAGUUCUCCUUUGAACUUACGGUAAAAAGGCGAAGGUACAAAAAAAUAAAUUUUCUGAAACCUUUGAUAAAUCUCUUCAUCACCAUGAAAGUGGAACAAUGUGUCCCGACCCAAAACGCAGUCCAGAUCGAGCCGGAGUCCCGAUUCAUUGUUCCUGGAUUCGAAUUUCGAAAGGAGAGGUCGCACACUGAUUGACCCCGUAGGCCAUAGCCUCCUCGCACUGCCUCUUUCUUGCUAAAAAAGUCGAGGGCGAGGCACACCGCCGCGGUUCGAUCGUGUACUCAUCCCAAUGUAGAAAAACAAAGCAUUGAGUUCAUCACGACGUAGGCGCAAUAAUGGGGCCGAAGCGAAAGCGACGACGACUGCCGCUACUGGGCGCAACGGGGGCGGCGACGGGGGCCUCCGACAGCGGUGGCCUUGACGGUGGAGUUCCUCAGGUGGUUCCUGGCGCAGAGCAGCGAGGACUACCACGUCCCGGCCCUCGACGACUGCUCGCCGUCGCCGGACGCCGCCGCCGAGGAGAGGGAGACGACGGUCCGCCGGGUGAACACCGACGUCCAGGCCACGAAGGACGGCUUCGCCGCCUUCCAGGCCUGGGUCCACGGCGUCGUCGACAAGGACAGCCGCGUCAUGCUCGGGAGCACGUCCAACCCCCGGGGACUGCAGGAGAUCAUCGUCGCCGAGUGGUCGGAGGUGAGCGGGAGCUCAGCAUGGGGGAUGGAGAUGGAGUCGUCUUCGUCGGUUCUGAUGACGCCGCCGUCAAGGAGGACGGUGAGGGCGCCAUGGCGUCGUCGUCAUCGUCGUCCAAGAUGAGGGUCCCACGCGGCCCGCAUCUGCAAACUCUGUCGAUCUACCUGUCUCUUAUCUACCAGCGCAUGACAUAAGUUUUUGGUUAGUGUCGUCCAUGUCAUGUGACUUCUAUCCAUGUCCUGCCUAAGUUUGGGAUUGAUUAUCGACGAGCACCACGUGUGAAUCUGUGAUGCAUGAGCACUCACACGGAGUUUAAGAAGCUAUCUUGAUGUCUAUGCUACGUUAUUCUCUCGGUACGCACUAUGUCAGAAACGAUUUGUGCUGGCACAUUGAAAUUAGUGUGUUGACAGGUAGAAUUAGCACCUGCCAGCAUAAAGGUGAUCGGGACCGCCGGGCUAGUGCCUGCCAGCACAGAUGGCUCUGUGCCGGUGAGCUAUCUAAGCAUCCGCCAGCACAGAGCCAUCUACUUAUCUCUCUCCAGGAGCGACGCUGGCCGCCCAUCCUUAUCUUCAUUUUAUCCAGGAGCACAGAGUCAUCCUUAUCUACUUCGGUGGGUGGCGGGUGAGGGUGGGAGCGGUGGCCGGUGGGGUGGGCCCGGGCACGGCUUUGGCAGGAGCGGUGGGGCGAUGUGGGGAGGGGGGGGGUGGGGGGGAGGGCGCGGGAGCGGCGGGCGAUGGCGGCCGGUGGGGCGGGCGGCGGACGACAGGUGGGGCGAGCGGCGGGCGGCGGCGACCUGACUGCGACGGGCGACGUGCAUGCUUUUUUUAAUCGAAAAAUCAACUUUCCUGGCGGGUAGCUAACGUCGUCCGUCAGCAUAGAGCGGUCUGUGGUGGUGGGUGCUCCCUCGCCAGCACAAAGCGCCAUUUGUGCUGGCUCCAAAGUUGCUGGCGGGUGCUCGGCCCGCCAGCACAGAGUCUUUUUAGCUGCCAGCACAAAUCUUUUAUGGCCUGGUGAUGUUUGUGUCAACUCUCCUUCUCAAAUUUUCAAUUUACAACAACUUGAGUGAACCGUGGUUGGGUUCACAUUAUCUGCGACAGGAUUACGAGAUUCCAUUGGCAUCCAAAUCCCCUGCUUGAGUGAAGUGUGUAUGCUCGGAGCUACUAUCAUGCUUCAUGAUAUUUGUAUUUCUUAAUAUAUACUAAAAAAGUUCAACCUAUGUACGAUAUAGAGUUACUAGUCAUUUUGGCACAAACAAUUACCAAACACACUUGAGCAUAUAGAACUAUAGAAUCUCAAUCAACACUUUCCUUAUUCCUUAGGAUCACACGCGCCGGCAUAUGAAAUUUAUUAUAGAAGUACAUUUCAUAAUUGAUCUAGAAAAGUCAAGAACUAACGAGUGGUUGCUGCAACAAAGCGGCAAGGUUCAUCGCAGUAAGUGGGUUGACGCGCAGUAGUUGCUGCUGUUGCCAGAAAGCGGCGGGGUUCAUCGCAGCAACUGGGUUGCCGUGCAGUAGCUGCUGUUGUUGCCAAAAAGUAGCGGGGUUCAUCGCAGCAACUGGGUUGACACGCAGUAGCUGCUGUUGUUGCCAGAAGGCGGCGGGGUUAGAGAUAGCCAAUGGGGUGAAUGGCAGCAGCUGCUGUUGCCAGAAGACGGCAGGGUUGCCAACAACCAGUGGGUUGAGUGGAAGUAGCUGCUGUUGCUGCAAGUAGGCAUUCUCCACAGCCAGCUGGUUGAAUGGAAGCAGCUGUUGUUGUUGCCAGUAUGCAGCGGUGCUAGCCAAGGAUAGUUGGCGGAAUGGUGAAAGAACCCGUUGUUGUUGUGCCAUGAUGCUUUGUACUGUCAGAUGCGCCAAGUAUUGCUGUUGCAAUAGGGCGGACUGUUGUUGUAAGAACACAGCCGGUGAUGAUAAGAUGCUUUCCGUGAGCCUGUCGUAGCCUGUAGGAUUGCACAAUUGGGUUUCAUUUCCCAGUGCUGUCACAUGUGGGAGGUAGUAGCCUGUAGGAUUGCACAAUUGGGUUUCCAUUUCCCAGUGCUGUCACAUGUGGGAGGUACUGGGGAAUAGUGGCAGAGCACUGCGGAAUAAGGACGGCAGUUGCAGGGCUAGCUGAAAGAGCAAGGAGCACAAGCAUGGUACAUAUCUUUGCCGCCAUUGUUGCUACUACGAGGCUGCUAGUGGGGUUUCGAUUUCUGAGUUGCUAAUGGAUUUAAUGAAAUGGGUGAUGGAUUGGCUACAUACUCGGGACCUAUUUAUACUCUUGGGAGGUGAUGUAGCCCUAGCAUGAUUUUUCUUUUCCCAAGCUAAUUAUUAUCUACAUAACCAAGCCAUGACAUGGUUUCUAGUAAAUUUCGACAUUUAGUGAUUAAUGUUUUUGGGUUGUACGGUAUGUGUUGGCAACAAAAUGUGCACUUGAUAAAAGGAAAAAAGUGACUUUUCUUGUUGGUAGUUUCUUGAUACCGUGGGUGACAAUAUCAUCACAAGUUCACCAUAAGACAUGUGAAGGCAUUGGCCACAUCAUACAUAUUCAAGUUUAUUAAAGAGAGUAUAAAUUUGUGAUAUGGUGAUGUGGAUCUAAAUCUUUUUAAGCUGAAUUUGUCACCUAUCUAAAGUAGGAUAUAUUUCAAGAGCCAUUACUCAUGGAUGAAAGGGAUAACGUCAGGUGAUGUUGUUGAGUGUAAAAUAAGUUAUGACGAAAACAACCUCAAAAAUAAUUAAGCCAAGAAACGGAAGGCAGCUUAACAUUUUUGGUUUCAAAUCCCUACGUGCUCUACGUUUGGAGGAUCUGCGAAUUCCCCCUACUUAUUCAAAAACUUUCCAAGGUCCGCCUCACGGUAUCCAGUUGAAAGGGAUAAGUUGCACAAGUAUGGUCGUCCUUUAUUGGGAUGUACUAUUAAACCAAAAUUGGGAUUAUCCGCAACAAAAUUAGGGUAGAGCGUGUUAUGAUGUCUACGCGGUGGACUUAAUUUUACUAAAGAUGAUGAAAACGUAAACUCACGACCAUUUAUGCGCUGGAGAGACCAUACACUCAACGGAGAAUUUUCAACAAGUAUGCAUUCUUGAGAAUUUUCAACAAGACGACGGGUUACCGGUGCCUCUUCUAAGGGCGUUCUUAGUGCACAGUUUUGUUCCACUAUUACCAAGACUGAGGACUUGUAAUUAAGGGCCUGAUGGGUUUUUUAGGAUGAAAUUCUUCUCUCAUCUGAUGAAACUCCCCCGCCUCUCUUAAUGAUCUUGCCAAAUCAGUAAAAUUGUUGAUGUGGUAUAGAAUUUAAGUAGAAAAAGAGUGCGCACAUAACGUUGAUGUUAGUGCACGGUGGUUCCUUCCAUGAUGUUCAAUUAUAAUUUGGGCAAGUUAUAAGGAAAUCUGUAAAAGUAACAAACGAUUAUUGUAUUAGGGCAAGUGCCACUGGUCGAAAAACAGGCAUUAGUCCCGGUUGGAUAGGCUAAUAUAUCUCGAAAAUCCAACCAGGACUAAUCUUUCAAGACUAAAGCCUCCCUUAGUCCCGGGUCAUUCGCCUAGGACUAAAGAGAAUUCUGGAUAAAAAGAAAAAAGAUCUUUAGUCAUAGUUGAUAAUAUCAACCGGGACUAAAGAAUUUUUUCUUUUUACCUGAAUUAUUUUCCAUAUUAAUGCUAAUUGUUGCUUCACUUAUAUAUACACCUCUACGUAUACAUCCUUAGUGUAAACUACUUACACGUGUAUGCACAUAUUGUAUGCAUAUCGUAUAUAUAUUUCAUGAUAGUAUAUGCAUAAUAUUAAUUUUAACUACUAUAUAUACAAUUCUUAGUAUAUUAUACACAUCAAACUAGUAUUAAUACCAUUACUGUAUAUAGAAUAAUUUAUCCUCGUAAUUCUUAGGAUCCUCCCGUCGUGGUGUUGCUCGGUUUGGCUACUGAAUAUCCAUCGUAAUAAAAUUCUUCUGGGGAAUUAUCACCUCGUCCACCAUAAAUCCUAUGAGUGCUUCUUGGAUUGCCAAAAGCCUUUCCUUCUCCGAGAGUUCUUCACAAAUCUACCGCAUCUGUAAUUUGGAAAUAUGUGAAUGUUACACCAACAAUUAAAUAAAAGGAGAUAGAAAAUGAUUAAUAAUUAAUAUGUUUAUUUUACGUACCUUGUCCAUUAUGAAAUGGUGUAUGUGCUCAUAAACGUAGUAUCCACAUAAAUUAUUCCCUUGUUCCUAUCUCAAGCACUUUAGUAAAAAAAAUAAGUUAUGAAAUAUUCGUGCUAUAUAUUUGAAUUAAGAUAGAAAAGGCAGUAGGGUUUGCGUAGUGCUAUGAACCCUUUUACUCUAGCUAUGGUAUGUUCACGCUUUUUGUCUUACUUUCUAGGAUUAUCAUUAUUAGAUGAUGCGAGUGCAUGCUUGGUGCGGCUUCGAUGGAGGCAUCAUUCCGAUGGCAUUUAAUUCAAGAGAAUUUUAGGAGGCGAUGUAUCAGAUGGACUUGUGUUACAUGUUCCCUUUUGGGUUGUUUGAGAUAUGCAUUAAAUACUCAAUAACAAACGCUUAGCUUCUGCAUUUCAGGCACAAACAAAGGCUUAGCUUCUGCAUUUCAGGCACAAACGAGAACCCACAAUAUCGAUGAUGUUGGGUAGCCCCUAUUGGAUAGAGAAUAUCUCUCUCUAUAUAUAUAGAUCUAUUUUUUUUUGCCAGCCACAAAAUAAGCUAUUCUGUAGCCAGACCAUCUAACUGUCCAAUCGAGCUCAUCCACCCCACGUACGGGGUUACAAAUCGGGCGAGCCGGCGACGAGCCCAGCGAAGCGAGUCGAGCGCGAGCGGAAUAACGAGACGUGAGGCUCAUCCAGCUGACCAGAGACCACAAAUCACGCCCUUUCCUUUCCAGUUGACCAAAGAAAUCCCCAAAUCCCUGUCAACUGCCCGGUGGACGGUGGCGCGGCCCGGUGGCCCGGCGACCUCCGCUGCCCCCUCCCUCCACCCUGCCGACAGGGUAGCAGCCCCCCUCGGACCCUCCCCGCUCGUCUGCGACCAUGCACGUGCGGCUGCGGAUCCCCUCGGUGCGAGCGGCGUCGACCUGGUGGCAAAACGGUGGUGGCGGCAGCACCCUCUCGUCCUGGAUUCAGAGGCGGCAGCACCCUCUCGUCCUAGUGGCGAAGCGGUGGCCAGCGGAGAAGUGGAUUAAGAGGUUAUGGAUUUUGAUUGUCCAAUGGUUAUGUUUGUAAUUGGAAAGGAUCAAUCCUCUACAACGGAGGGUUUUUGUAUAUAUAUUCAAUUAAACUUGAGCAACAUCUUCACUAUGCGCCCGUUGUGUGGCUGCGCUGUCCAUCUAGUUAAGUAUGCUUGUUCGGAGCUACUUUCCCAAUUCUUGAUAUUUGUUUCUUAGUACAUACAUAAUCAAGUACGUCUCUGAAGGUACGAUGUACAAUUUUUGGUGGUUGAUGACUAUGGUACGAACAAUUACAGAAUACACUUGGACAACAUAGGACAAUAGAAUCUCAACCAACACUUUUCUUAUUUCUUAGGAUCACACGAGUCGGCAUGCAAACUUUAUUAUAAAAGUACAACAAAUAAUUGAUCUAGCAAAGGCCAGAACCAAUGAUUGGUUGCUGCAAGAAGGCAGCGGCGUUCAUCGCAGCAAGUGGGUUGACACGCAGUAGCUGCUGUUGUUGCCAGAAGGCGGCGGGGUUGGUGAUAGCUAGUUGGUUGAAUGGAAGCAGCUGUUGCUGGAAGGCAUUCGCCGAAGCUAGCUGGUUGAAUGGAAGCAGCUGUUGUUGUUGCGAGAAGGCAUUCGCCAAAGCUAGCUGGUUGAAUGGAAGAAGCUGUUGUUGCUGCGAGAAGGCAUUCGCCAAAGCUAGCUGGUUGAAUGGAAGCAGCUGUUGUUGCUGCGAGAAGGCAUUCGCUAAAGCUAGCUGGUUGAAUGGAAGCAACUGUUGUUGUUGCCAGUAUGCUGCUGGGCUAGUCAGGGCUAGUUGGCUAAAUGGUGACAGAACCUGUUGUUGCCAGUAUGCGGCAGGGCUUGCCAAGGAUUGAUGCUGCCACAGGGCAGACUGUUGUUGUAAGGACAUGGCCGGUGAUGAUAAGAUGCUUGCUGCAAGAGCCUGCUGCAGCCUGUAGGGCUGCACAAUUGGGUUUCCAUAUCCUAGGGCUGUCAGAUGUGGGAGGUACUGGGGAAUAGUGGAGCACUGUGGAAUAAGGAUGGCAGUGGCAGCGCUAGCUGAAAGAGCAAGGAGCACAAGGAGGGUACAUAUCUUGGCUGCCAUUGUUGCUAUUAUGAGGCUGCUAGUGGGUUUCAAUUUCUGCUACUGGGUCUCAAUGAAAUGAGUUAUGGAUUAACUACAUAUCCGAGACCUAUUUAUACUCAUGAGAGAUCAUGUAGCUCUAGAAUGAUUUUGGCUUUUCCCAAGCUAAUUAUUAUCUAGAUAACCAAGCCAUGACAUGGUAUCCAGUCAAUUUCGACAUUUAGUGAUUAAUUUUCUUAGGUUGUACGGUAUGUGUUGGCAACAAAAUGUGCACUUAAUAAAAGGAAAAAGUGACGUUUCUUGUUGGUAUUUUCUUGAUACCGUGGGUGAGAAUAUCAUCACAAGUUCACCAUAAGACAUGUGAAGGCAUUGGCCACAUCAUGCAUGUUCCACUUUAUUAAAGAGAGUCUGUAAAGUUGUGAUAUGGUGAUGUGGAUCUAAAUCUUUUUAAGCUGAAUUUGUCACCUAUCUAAAGUAGGAUAUAUUUCAAGAGCCAUUACUCAUGGAUGAAAGGGAUAACUUCACGUGAUGUUGUUGAGUGUAAAAUAAGUUAUGACGAAAACAACCUCAAAAAUAAUUAAGCCAGGAAAGGGAAGGCAGCUAACAUUUUUGGUUUCAAAGCCCUACGCGCUCUACGUUCGGAGGAUCUACGAAUUCCCCCUACUUAUUCAAAAACUGAUGUGGAUCUAAAUCAUUUUGAGCUGAAUUUGUCAUCUAUCUAAUAUAAGGUAGGAUAUGUUCUAAUUGCAACCGGUGGGGAUAUAUUGUACUGGUCUAUACAGUAUACUUACAUAUUUUAGGGCUAUAAAUCUAUAUCUAUGAGUCGCUUAAAGUAGCACGAGUACCGCUUGUGCACACCAUGAUGGCGUAAAAGUCCAAUUGCAAUCUAUAUUGAUACAUUCCACCUGGUCUAUAUGUAUAUGGCCAUCUAUAUGAAGUUUUCUCUCUUCUCGCGUGGUAUUUCUAUAAGAAGUUGGUAGAUUUUGUCUACGCAUGUGUUGGAAUCCAUCCUAUCUUAUAGUACUAAUUAACAUAUAACUAUUUUUCAAUAUCUCUGUUUUUUGGGUAAUCAAAGUUCAUUAGUGAAACCAUUAUGUACCGUUAAAAACAUUGGAUGUGUUUACAUUAAAAAUUUAAAUCAUUAUAACUUUCAGGGUUCUGCACAGUGCAACGUCCGAGGUUUGUAGGCAUGGGGCGUCUAAACCAUAGCCAAAGGGGCUGCCAGGCUUAGCUGAAUUUAUCUGUAUACUCCCUCCAAGAAUUCACAAUAGUUGUUAUUUUAUCAAGUUUAAGGGCAUAAUCUAUGUGGCUUGAUGAUCAAGUUUAGUGGGCAUAAUCUAUAGGAAGAAGAGCCAAAAGCUUCUAAGGAUUCUAGGAGAAGCCUAAAGAUAGAUUAGGAUACAAGGAACUCCAAAGAUAUUUAAGCCUCGAUAAAAAAUUUAGAAGCUUCAAGUAAAAUAAACUAAAAAAUAGAAAAAAACGAAGGGCUAAAAAUAGUAAUGUGCUAGCCUAUGGAGUGCCUGCAUUGGAGCCCCGCCAUUGCAUGGGUGCAUCGUGCAUGAACUUUGGCACGUGCUCUAGUUGUUACCACCAUGGUGCAUGGUAGCAGUGGAGCUAUAUCCCAUCUAGGGAUCACCACUUAUAUUUCUUGUGAAGUCACCAGCGAAGAAAUGGGCCUAUCAUACUUUUUAGGGUUUAUUAUUGUGAAAAGUUUCCACUAAAAAAGAUUGAGAAAACACAUGGUUAUGCUCUUGGAGAUUUCUAGAAUUUUUGGUAAAUUUAUGGCAAAAUAGGCACUUCGGUCCAUGAACUUUGCACGGAUGGUACGGUCAAUUUCGUCCCCAACUUUCAGAUUGGCCAAUUUAGUCAAAAUCAUUAUGGUAAAGUUGAGGGAUGAAGUUGACCCUUUGUGUAAAGUUUAGGGACCAAGAUGCCUAUUUUGCCUAAGUUUAUUGGAGUUUUUGUGUUACUUAUAUGGAGGGAAUUGAUGAGAGGGAAUGGGAGUUUAUGGGGAGGAGACUAAAAGUCCCUUUGUUUUAUUCAUGGGAUAGGGAAUUAGUCUGGGAUGGGGAAAGGUCAGGAGUUGAUGGGAGGAAUUCCCAACGACCUCUUCCCUGGCCGGGAACCCUGGUAAUUCAUAGAUGCGGUAGGGAGUUUGAUGUGCAAUGACGGGAAUACCGGCCCCUGGCUUUAUCGCAUCUGGCAGCAAAUCUGCCGCCGCGAGAUUGCUGUCGUCCGGUGGCUGAGCCGCUCGCCCCCGGCGGUGCUCAGGCGAGCGUAGCGCUGCGGCACUGCAGGGCAGCCGGUGUGUGGAGGUGAAGUGGAAGCCGACAGCCAGCCAUCCCAUGUCGGCCGAGCAGCUCGCCCCCGGCGGUGCUCAGGCGGACGACAGGGCUGCUGGGUGGCGGGCGUGCGGUUGGAGUAAUGAGUAUAAAAUAGCUGACACGUGGGCCCUAAAGGAACUUCAUGGAUCACCCUAAAAGUCGGACUGUUGGAUAUAUGGACUGUCUCUUGCACUGUUUGUGUGGAUGAGGUGGAAGUGACACGUGGAUCCGGCUCAACUGUUGGAGAAGGCCAAGUAAGCUUCACACAGUUGCGGCAGGAGAAAGUGACGCAUCUGCUUUUCUGGCCUGGCUCCUUUUCUCCUCUGCGGUGGUAGAAAGGACACAUCUCCUGGUCUGCCUCCUUUUCCAUUGGUGGAAAACAGACCUUUAGUUCCGGUUGGUAGGGGUCAUAGACCCCGAAAAUCCAUCCAGGACUAAUUAUUCGAGACAAAGGGGGUCCUUUAGUCUCGGGCCUUUAUCCUGAUUGGUAUUCCCAACCGGGACUAAAAAGUUUCAAAGUAAAUAAAAAAAGCCCGCUCUGCCGGUGCCGCUCCCCCCGUGCCGCUCUGCUCCGCCCCGGCGCCGCUCCGCUCGCUACGCGCCGGGCCCGUGCCUGCGCCCGCCAAUGCCAUGGCGGCACUGCUCCGUCCGCGCAGGGCCCGGGCCACGCCGCACCGCCCGUCCUCCCUCUGCUCCCUCCCCGCCUCCCCGGCCUCCUCCUCCCUACGGGCGAGGGCGGUGCGGCGUGGAGGAAGGGAUGAGCUGAGGGAGAAGGAGAGUAGCGCAGGAGAUAAGGAGAGAGAGGGGUGGAGAGGGAUGGGCGCAUGUCCUUAGGAGAUAAGGGUGGGUGCGGGUCGCUAGACAGGGGAGAGAGAGAGGAGUUGGAGAGGUGGAUAAAUUCUAGUUAGUGGCUCCAACAGGGACUAAGAGGAUCCUUUUAGUCUCGGUUGGUAGCAUCAUUUAUCUAGGUUGGUGGCUCAAACCGGGACUAAAAAGCAUCCUUUUAGUCCAGGUUGGAGCCACCAACCGGGACUAAUUCAUUUUAUCUCGGUUGAUGGCUCCAACCGGGAUUAAAAGCUCCACUUUUGUCUCGGUUGGAACCACCAACCGGGAUUAAAAGGGCUCCGUCGAUAUACAAAAUUUAGACCCGUGACUAAAGGUCCUUUAGUCCCGGGUCCAAAGUGAUCCAGGAUAAAAGCUACCGGAUGGAAGGUCAGUUCUCUACUAGUAUUCUCCUCUCGCCUAUCUGUUUGUUUUUUCAGAUUUUGGCAGCAAGGGGUGAAAAGUAUUUUGCUGGUUGAAGUGGAGACCAAAAGCUGCAGGUGCAAAUCAUUCUAAAAUGUUUGAAUUAACAUAGAAAAGGUGGUGGGUUUGCGUAGUGCUAUGAACCCUUUUACUCUAGCUAUGAUUAUUUUCAUGAUUUUUGUCUUACUUUUUAGGAUUAUCAUUAUUAAUUAGAUGAUGCACGUGAUAUUAAUCACUCACUGUAGAACGUAUCGGACUCUAAUUUCAACAUACAUGCUCCACAUUGUCGGUGCAGCUUCGAUGGAGGCCUCGGGUCCAGUGACAUAUAAUCCAAGAGAAUUUUAAGAGGAAAUCAUAAGCCAAGGUAUCAGAAUACUUGUGUUUGAAGUUCCCUUUUGAACUGUUUGAUAUGUUCAUUCAAUAGUCAAUAGCAAAGGCUGAGGUUGUGCAUUUUAAGGCACAAGCAAACAUCCACGAUUUCGACAAUAUUGGGGGUUCAAACCUAGUACAAAUUUAACACAUGCAUAUUCAAAUAUACUUGUACAUUUUAUGAUUUUCCAAUAGCACGGGGACAGAGAUGGAGUUGUCGCCGGUUCUGAUGACGUCGCCGCCAAGGACGGUGAGGGUGUCAUGGCGUCUUCGUCGUCGUCCAAGAUGAGGGUCGCAUGCGGCCCGCAUCUGCAAACUCUGUCGAUCUACCUGCCUCUGUUCUACCAGCGUAUGACAUAAGUUUUUGGUUAGUGUCGUCCAUGUCACGUCUAUCCACGUCCUAUGUUUGGGAUUGAUUAUCGAUGAACACCAUGUGGGAGUGUGUGUGAUGCAUGAACACUCAUACGUAGUUUAAGAAGCUACCUUGACAUGUCGUCUCUGUUACGUUAUUCUUUCGGUACAUUUGUAUCAAAUUCUCCUUUUCAAAUUUCAAAUUUACAGAGGGAACAACAACAUGAUUUAUUAGGAGAUUCCAUUAUACUCCUUCCGUUUCAAAUUAUAGGUCGUUUUAGCUUUUCUAGAUUCAUAGACAUUAUUAUGCAUCUAGAUAUAGGCUAUAUCUAGAUGCAUAGUAAAAAUUAUGCACCUAGAAAUACCAAAACAAUCUACAAUUUAGGAGAGGGAGUACUGAAAAAAGUAUGUCAACCAUUGUACGAUAUAAAGUUACAAGUCAUUACGGCACAAACAAUUACCAAACACACUUGAGCAGAUAGAACUAUAGAAUCUCAAUCAACACUUUCCUUAUUUCUUAGGAUCUAAAUCGUUUUGAGCUGAAUUUGUCAUCUACCUAAAGUAGGAUAUGUAUGAAGAGUCAUUACUCAUGGAUGAAAGGGAUAACAUCCUUUGUUAGAGGAGAAGUUGUUGAGUAACAAAUGAGCUAAGACGAAAACAACCCCCAAGUUAUUCAGCACGUAGCCGCUCAAAUAAGAACUAUAGCUUUUGCACACCGUGGUUUCAAUGGAAUCCGGCUAAUUGCGGCUGGCGCGGAUAUUCCAUCUGGUAUGUAUAUACGCUCACAUAUUUUAGGGCUAUCUAUCUAUAUAUCUAUAAGUCGCUCAAAGUAGGAGGACUACCGCUUGUCCACAGCAUGGUUGCGGUUGAGUCCAAUUGCGGCCGUUGCGAAUAUAUUCCACGUGGUUUACUCAUAAACUAAGUUGUAGGGCCAGCUAUAUGAAGAUUUUUUCUCUUUUGGCCAAACAGUUUCAUACUUGCCUGUUAUGGACUUUAUUAGUCUUGUUUUCAGGGUCACGGUGUGUUAACCCCGGCGUACGUAGUCAAGCUCAAAAAUACCGAAAAGCUUCUAGAAUGUAUAGGAGUUGUCCUAAUGAUACAAUAGUACACAAGGAACUAAAAAAAUAUUUAAGCCUUGAUAAAAAAAAUCAAAACUUAAAAAAUAACUAAUAGUAAAGUUUAUGCCGGUCCUUAAACUUAUUGAUGAUGAUCUUUUAUAUUGUAGGCAAUAUUUUAGCUUGUUGGUGCAGAUGACAGCCGGCGCCGUGCUCUAUUAUUCUUGGAAUGCUAUUCAAAUUCGAAUUUGAAUAACUUAUAGUUGCACUUACCAAACUAAAAAUCAUCUAAAAAUCAUGAGCUUAUAAGCUCCGUAAAUUACCAAAUGAAUACCGGGAAAAGCUAAAAGGUGCGAUAAAAAAAGUCAGGAAAUGUGCUAAUGAAGUAGUCGUAUGAUUGAAAGAACAAAUUUGAUCUUCUAAUGUCCUUUUGAUGGUAUGACACAUCAUGUAAACAGUAUAGGCACUCAAAUAGCAUCCGCAACCAAGUUUAGGAGGGCAUAUAUGCAUUUUGAGAGUAUAUAGGGACCUAAAUGACAUCCGAGGUCAUGUUUAGACAGCUAGGUCUGCAUUUUAAGAGACAAGUUUAAGGACCCAUGCACUUUAUUAAUUAUUGAACAAACUACAAACUACAAUAUAGAAUAACGAAAGGGCUAAAAGUUACAAUGCAGUACCCUCGGGAGCGCGUGCGUUGGAGCCCCGCCAUUGCAUGGGUGCCAGCACUUGGCACGUGGUCUAGUUGUUGCCACCAUGGUACAUGGCCAGCAAUGGAGCUAUAUCCCACAUUCCCACCUAGGGAUGACCACUUAUGUUUCUUGUGAAGUCACCAGCGAAAUGGGCCUAUAAUACUUUUUAUGGUUCAUUAUUGUGUAAAUUUUCUACUAAAAAAGGUUAAGAAAACACAUGGUUAUGCUCUAGGAGAUUUCUACAUUUUUUUGGUGAAUUAUGGGAUUUUUUGUGUAACUAAAGGAAAGGCUUAAAGUAAAUCGAGAGUCCUACACCUUUUAAGUUUGGCACAUCACGAAUGUGAUGUUGUAUACUCGUAUGUGCCAUCCGAAGAACCAGUCAGUCCGGCUCGAGACGGAGUCGGCAUCGACUCUCGCCUGGGAAGGAGCUGUAGUCCGAGGGACGCACGGACUACCUUCCCUUAUCGGACACGAGCUGAGCCUGCUCCGCUAUAUAUCGCGCGAGUUACUUCCCUUACAGUCCUCAGUUUCAACUUUCAAUAACAAGAAGAAGCAGUGUCGUCGUGUCGAUCAAGAGCUCCGGCCGGCGUCGUCGUCAUCAAGCUCGGAGAGGCAGGCGGCGCGACGAUGGCUUCAGGAGGCGGCGACGGAGCCGCGAUGGUGAAGAUGGUCGACAUGCCGGUGGAGUACCUCCUGUGGGUGCUGGCGCAGGACAAGGAGGACUACCGCGUGCCGACGCUCGAGGACUACACGCGGGAGGAGAUCGCCGAGUCCGGCGCGGAGGCGAUCCUCGGAGUCAUCGGCUCGCUGCAGGUGGCGUACGACGAGUUCGCCGACUUCCGAGCAUGGGUGCUCGGCGUGCUCGGCGAGGACGGCCGCGUCAUGAUCCGGGAAGACAUGCUCUUCUCCGACCCCGACGAGUGGCAGGAGAUCGUCGACAGCGAGUGGGCGGAGGCGCGGCAGGAGUUGGUGGACGGGGAGACGACCACGACGGGUCCGCUUGGCACGCACACGUAUGUGUUGUCGACGUACCUGUCUAUGUUGUAUCAGUAUGCGGCGCCCGUGCGGACGUUUUGGGGAAUCUAGGCAUAGGGUAAAGAAAAGUAUAGGCCGAUAGGGAUCGUUGGAGCCACUGGCUCGUUUUAUCCUCUUCUCAUCUUGUUUUUCCUUUUUCCACGUAUGCAGAUGAUUUUCUAAGUAAUUUUGUAUAAGACUGCAUUUAGAAAAAUGUCGUAGGACAAGUUUUAUACACUUUCCAUCUUGUUUUUAUUUUUUUGCCUUCCACGGUGGAUGCAUGCAAUGGGUUUUGUAAGAGUAAAGACUGAUUAAUGAUAGGUAACCAGAAGCGAGAGCGAGCGACUCAAUGCAGUGCAAGAGUGCAACAUGCAGCCGGCCAAGGCAUCCACGCCAGCCAGAAAACGAUUGCAAUACUCAACACUCGUUAAGCGUGAAGAAUGCGAGGCUACUCAAUACUCAACACUCGUUAAUCAAGCUGCUUGCGUGCCGGGAACAAAUCACUCCUCGCUCACUGCUGCUGCUGCUGAUAAAGGUCUCCUGGCUACGCUAAUUAUUUGUUUUGAUUUUGAUUGACCUGGGUAACCUGAGGUUCUCCACUAUGAAUGUAUCAUCGAACCUCACGAACUCAAAAGUGCAGCUUCUUCGAGGCAUCCUUUACCCCAGCACAACAGGGAACACACCACGUCAAACACCUUGUGAGCACUGCAACUCAGGGUGCAGGCCGGGCAGGUAGCCCAGUGUCUGCCAUGACGUACGCGGCCAAUCGCCAUGGCUGCAGAUGGAACACCUCCGUGCCGGUGGCGGUGGGUCAGAACUCAGUAGCUGACGCAUUUGCUACCGAUCGAACAUCGCCAGAUCAAGCUCAAGAGGAUCGCAUUCGACAAUAGGUGAGGCUGAGGCAGUACCUUGACUGCGACGGCUGGGUCUGUGAUGUGCUCGAGCGCCGCAGCAGCAACGCCAUGAACUCUCUGCAGGGCGGAGGCAACAGUGUAAUUGGCCGGGCGUUGAAGCAGCAUCUACUUGCUCUGGCUACGCUCCGUCCCCGCAAUCGACUUGCCCCGCGACCUGGCCGGCGAGCCGGCGACAGUCAGUCGCCGCAACCGCCGCCGUCUUUUGGCUUGGAGGGAUUCAGCCGUUUUCUCGGGGGAAAGAGAUCCAGCUGUUCCUGCUGCGAGGAUGCGGGUCCGGGAGAGUUGUGGCAUCCUGUCCACAAAUUUGGUGGGCUUUGCGUGGCUGUGCUGUCCCGUCCAGUGAAAUCUGAACUUUCGGAGAUACUGAACCGCCUCACGGUAUUUGCAUGAUGUAAUAUGUACUUAAAUCAUGUAAUGGCUCCAUAGGUACGAUACAUAAUAUUUGGUAGUUGUCGAAUGUAUGGCACAAAGAAUUACGAAACAAAUUUGGACACAGAUAGGACUUCAUAAUCUCAACCAAUACUUUUCUUGUUGUGUGGUAACAAUGGAUCGGAUUAAAACCUAGACUCUUUUGUUUUCCAUAUAUACUCAGGAACCAAUUUCAUCGGUGCACAACAACAUGAGACACUGGCGCUCAACUUAACCGUAUCAUAUUUCCAUUCAAUUCUUGGGUGCGACAUGCCUAUGGCUACAAAGAAGAUGAUAUUCCGACCCUAUACGCUACCUAUAUUAAACUAUUACGCCGGCUAAAAGUGUUGUAUCGUUCACUUUAUGAAUUUGAAUAAUGACUUUUGAGAUGUUUGCACAAGAUAACAUGAAGCGCAAUGAGUCCUUCGUCUAAGCUCAUCAGCACCAUUUUACGGCAACAUGUGAAUCAAACAUGUAACAAAUAAAAUUUUAAAUAAUGAUGUCUGGUUUAUGAGCAUGUAUUGUUCCCCAUCAUGCUAGCAACGUAGACUAUUGUGAUACGUGUGUUAUGUUAUAUACUUGGGUUGAACCUGUUUUGCCAAAAAUUUAUGUCCAUUCUUGAGAGAGGUUUCAUGCGUCAAAUUGGUAGAAUCAAGAAGUCGUGGGCCAUAGCAAGGUCAAUUUUUUUUGCGUUCCUAGGAUUUAUCCAUGCCCAUAUCUUCACUGUAUAUGGAAGCAUGCAUGACUUUUUGCUAGAAAAAAAUAUUGAUCAUGUGUGUAAAGAUGAUAUAAGUACGAAAUAAGAUGUAAUGACUUUAUCGAAAAAUUUUGGGCUCAACUUUGGCCUUCUUCGUGAGAACUAUGUUAUACUCAGGGAUUUCAGUGGCAAUGAUUGAAACAUGUAGAUAUACUGGCAUAUAACAUGCACAAUAAUAAUUAGUGAUGUUGACCAAUUCUCUCUCCUAUGGAACAUUCGAAACAACCAUUGUGUUAUCUUAAGUCCUACUACGCGCCCGUGGCAUGGCUGUGCUGUCCCAUCUAGUGAAAUCUGAACUUUCGGAGAUACUGAACCGCCUCACGGUAUUUGCAUGAUGUAAUAUGUACUUAAAUCAUGUAUGGCUCCAUAGGUACGAUACAUAGUAUUUGGUAGUUGUCGAAUGUAUGGCACAAAGAAUUACGAAACACAUUUGGACACAGAUAGGACUUCAUAAUCUCAACCAAUACUUUUCUUAUUUUCGGGGAGUCACCCAUGUCCUCAUGCAAACAUAAUUAUUCAAGUACAACUCAUAAGUAAUCUAGAAGAGGGCAGAACCAACGAUGGGUUGCUGCAAGAAGGCGGCGGGACUCGUCAAAGCUAGUUGGUUGACUAGCUGUUGCUGCUGCCAGAAGGCGGCGGGGUUUGCCAAUGCAAGUGGGUUCAAUGGUGACAGUUGCUGCUGCAAGAUGGCGGCUGGGUUCACAGCAGCCAGUUGGUUGAACGGAAGCAGCUGUUGUUGCUGCAAGAAGGCAGCGGGGUUCGCCAGGGCCAGCUGGUUGAACGGGAGUAGCGUCUGUUGUUGCAAGUAUGCGGCGGGGUUCGCCAAGGCUAGUUGGUUCAACGGUGAUAGAAUGCGUUGUUGCUGUGCCGUGAUGCUCUGUACUGUCAGAUGAGAUAGGGAUUGCUGCUGCAAUAAGGCCGACUGUUGUGGUAGGAACAUGGCCGAUGAUGGUAGGAUGCUUGCUGCAAGUGCCUGCUGUAGCCUGUAGGAUUGCACAAUUGGGUGUUCAUACCCAAGAGCUGUGUAAGGUGAGAGGUACUGGGGAAUUGUGGCUGCGGCGGCGGCUACUGAGCACUGUGGGACAAGGACCGCGGUAGCAGCGCUCACUGAAAGAGCAAGGAGCGCAAGGAAGGCAAAUAUCUUGGCUGCCAUUGUUGCUAAGAGGUUGGUUGUCGGUUUCAAUGUCUAUGUAGCUAGAUUGAUGGGUGAUUGGAAUACCUACACAACAUUUGGGGCCUAUUUAUAGGCAUGAGAGCUCAUGUAGCUUUAGCAAGAUUUUUGCUUGUGCCUUGCAAAUCGCUAGCUUGAUAAACUAGAGACGACAUGGUAUCUAGUCAAUUUUGGCAUUUAGUGAUAAAUACCCUUGUGUUGUAAUGCAUGUGUUGGCAAGACAACUUGCAGUUGUACAAGCAAAAAAGUGUCUUCUUCUGUUGGUAUUGUCUUUGUGACAACAUCAUGGUCGGUUCACCUUUAAACACGUGAAAGUCUUAGCCACAAAAAUAUGUGUUCCACUUUGUUAAAGUUGGUUUGUAAAGCUGUGAUUUGCUGGUGUGGAUCCAAAUCAUUUUGAGCUUCAUUGUUCAUCUAACUCGGAUAGGAUUUGUUCCAUGAGCCAAUCCUCAUGGAUGAUAGAGGUAACACACUAGUUCUAGAAGAAGUUAUCAAGUAAGUAAUGAGCCAAUACACAAGAACCUAGAUUAAGUCAGUAUUGUAAGUCAUGCAAACAAGGUGUUUGCGUUGUGGUUGCGAGGAAUCCGUUUGCAAUCGGUGUGGAUAUAUUGCACCAGAUCUACGCAUGCAUAUGUUAGAGCUAUCUCUCUAAAGGUGAAAGUCGCUCAAAGUGGGAGGACCGCUGCUUGUGCACAUUGUAGUUUCCCAAGAUUCUACUUUUGACAUAUUUGAAUGUAUUCUACCUUGUCUACACAUACAUAUUGUAGGGCCAUCUAUAUCGAUCCAUAGGAAGUUUUUUUUCCUGCUUUUGCAUAAUAUUUCUAUGAAAAGUUGAAGAUAGUGUUUCUGGAUGUGUGGUAACAAUGGAUCGGAUUAAAACCUAGACUCUUUUGUUUUCCAUAUAUACUCAGGAACCAAUUUCAUCGGUGCACAACAACAUGAGACACUGGCGCUCAACUUAACCGUACCAUAUUGCCAUUCAAUUCUUGGGUGCGACAUGCCUAUGGCUACAAAGAAGAUGAUAUUCCGACCCUAUACGCUACCUCUAUUAAACUAUUACGCCGGUUAAAAGUGUUGUAUCGUUCACUUUAUGAAUUUGAAUAAUGACUUUUGAGAUGUUUGCACAAGAUAACAGGAAGCGCAAUGAGUCCUUCGUCUAAGCUCAUCAGCACCAUUUUACGGCAACAUGUGAAUCAAACAUGUAACCAAAAAAUUUUAAACAAUGAUGUCUGGUUUAUGAGCAUGUAUUGUUCCCCAUCAUGCUAGCAACGUAGACUAUUGUGAUACGUGUGUUAUGUUAUAUACUUGGGUUGAACCUAUUUUGCCAAAAAUUUAUGUCCAUUCUUGAGAGAGGUUUCAUGCGUCAAAUUGGUAGAAUCAAGAAGUCGUGGGCCAUAGCAAGGUCAAUUUUUUUUGCGUUCCUAGGAUUUAUCCAUGCCCAUAUCUUCACUGUAUAUGGAAGCAUGCAUGACUUUUUGCUAGAAAAAAAUAUUGAUCAUGUGUGUAAAGAUGAUAUAAGUACGAAAUAAGAUGUAAUGACUUUAUCGAAAAAUUUUGGGCUCAACUUUGGCCUUCUUCGUGAGAACUAUGUUAUACUCAGGGAUUUCAGUGGCAAUGAUUGAAACAUGUAGAUAUACUGGCAUAUAACAUGCACAAUAAUAAUUAGUGAUGUUGACCAAUUCUCUCUCCUAUGGAACAUUCGAAACAACCAUUGUGUUAUCUUAAGUCCUACUACGCGCCCGUGGCAUGGCUGUGCUGUCCCAUCUAGUGAAAUCUGAACUUUCGGAGAUACUGAACCGCCUCACGGUAUUUGCAUGAUGUAAUAUGUACUUAAAUCAUGUAUGGCUCCAUAGGUACGAUACAUAGUAUUUGGUAGUUGUCGAAUGUAUGGCACAAAGAAUUACGAAACACAUUUGGACACAGAUAGGACUUCAUAAUCUCAACCAAUACUUUUCUUAUUUCCGGGGAGUCACCCAUGUCCUCAUGCAAACAUAAUUAUUCAAGUACAACUCAUAAGUAAUCUAGAAGAGGGCAGAACCAACGAUGGGUUGCUGCAAGAAGGCGGCGGGACUCGUCAAAGCUAGUUGGUUGACUAGCUGUUGCUGCUGCCAGAAGGCGGCGGGGUUUGCCAAUGCAAGUGGGUUCAAUGGUGACAGUUGCUGCUGCAAGAUGGCGGCUGGGUUCACAGCAGCCAGUUGGUUGAACGGAAGCAGCUGUUGUUGCUGCAAGAAGGCAGCGGGGUUCGCCAGGGCCAGCUGGUUGAACGGGAGUAGCGUCUGUUGUUGCAAGUAUGCGGCGGGGUUCGCCAAGGCUAGUUGGUUCAACGGUGAUAGAAUGCGUUGUUGCUGUGCCGUGAUGCUCUGUACUGUCAGAUGAGAUAGGGAUUGCUGCUGCAAUAAGGCCGACUGUUGUGGUAGGAACAUGGCCGAUGAUGGUAGGAUGCUUGCUGCAAGUGCCUGCUGUAGCCUGUAGGAUUGCACAAUUGGGUGUUCAUACCCAAGAGCUGUGUAAGGUGAGAGGUACUGGGGAAUUGUGGCUGCGGCGGCGGCUACUGAGCACUGUGGGACAAGGACCGCGGUAGCAGCGCUCACUGAAAGAGCAAGGAGCGCAAGGAAGGCAAAUAUCUUGGCUGCCAUUGUUGCUAAGAGGUUGGUUGUCGGUUUCAAUGUCUAUGUAGCUAGAUUGAUGGGUGAUUGGAAUACCUACACAACAUUUGGGGCCUAUUUAUAGGCAUGAGAGCUCAUGUAGCUUUAGCAAGAUUUUUGCUUGUGCCUUGCAAAUCGCUAGCUUGAUAAACUAGAGACGACAUGGUAUCUAGUCAAUUUUGGCAUUUAGUGAUAAAUACCCUUGUGUUGUAAUGCAUGUGUUGGCAAGACAACUUGCAGUUGUACAAGCAAAAAAGUGUCUUCUUCUGUUGGUAUUGUCUUUGUGACAACAUCAUGGUCGGUUCACCUUUAAACACGUGAAAGUCUUAGCCACAAAAAUAUGUGUUCCACUUUGUUAAAGUUGGUUUGUAAAGCUGUGAUUUGCUGGUGUGGAUCCAAAUCAUUUUGAGCUUCAUUGUUCAUCUAACUCGGAUAGGAUUUGUUCCAUGAGCCAAUCCUCAUGGAUGAUAGAGGUAACACACUAGUUCUAGAAGAAGUUAUCAAGUAAGUAAUGAGCCAAUACACAAGAACCUAGAUUAAGUCAGUAUUGUAAGUCAUGCAAACAAGGUGUUUGCGUUGUGGUUGCGAGGAAUCCGUUUGCAAUCGGUGUGGAUAUAUUGCACCAGAUCUACGCAUGCAUAUGUUAGAGCUAUCUCUCUAAAGGUGAAAGUCGCUCAAAGUGGGAGGACCGCUGCUUGUGCACAUUGUAGUUUCCCAAGAUUCUACUUUUGACAUAUUUGAAUGUAUUCUACCUUGUCUACACAUACAUAUUGUAGGGCCAUCUAUAUCGAUCCAUAGGAAGUUUUUUUUCCUGCUUUUGCAUAAUAUUUCUAUGAAAAGUUGAAGAUAGUGUUUCUGGAUGUGUGGUAACAAUGGAUCGGAUUAAAACCUAGACUCUUUUGUUUUCCAUAUAUACUCAGGAACCAAUUUCAUCGGUGCACAACAACAUGAGACACUGGCGCUCAACUUAACCGUACCAUAUUGCCAUUCAAUUCUUGGGUGCGACAUGCCUAUGGCUACAAAGAAGAUGAUAUUCCGACCCUAUACGCUACCUCUAUUAAACUAUUACGCCGGUUAAAAGUGUUGUAUCGUUCACUUUAUGAAUUUGAAUAAUGACUUUUGAGAUGUUUGCACAAGAUAACAGGAAGCGCAAUGAGUCCUUCGUCUAAGCUCAUCAGCACCAUUUUACGGCAACAUGUGAAUCAAACAUGUAACCAAAAAAUUUUAAACAAUGAUGUCUGGUUUAUGAGCAUGUAUUGUUCCCCAUCAUGCUAGCAACGUAGACUAUUGUGAUACGUGUGUUAUGUUAUAUACUUGGGUUGAACCUAUUUUGCCAAAAAUUUAUGUCCAUUCUUGAGAGAGGUUUCAUGCGUCAAAUUGGUAGAAUCAAGAAGUCGUGGGCCAUAGCAAGGUCAAUUUUUUUUGCGUUCCUAGGAUUUAUCCAUGCCCAUAUCUUCACUGUAUAUGGAAGCAUGCAUGACUUUUUGCUAGAAAAAAAUAUUGAUCAUGUGUGUAAAGAUGAUAUAAGUACGAAAUAAGAUGUAAUGACUUUAUCGAAAAAUUUUGGGCUCAACUUUGGCCUUCUUCGUGAGAACUAUGUUAUACUCAGGGAUUUCAGUGGCAAUGAUUGAAACAUGUAGAUAUACUGGCAUAUAACAUGCACAAUAAUAAUUAGUGAUGUUGACCAAUUCUCUCUCCUAUGGAACAUUCGAAACAACCAUUGUGUUAUCUUAAGUCCUACUACGCGCCCGUGGCAUGGCUGUGCUGUCCCAUCUAGUGAAAUCUGAACUUUCGGAGAUACUGAACCGCCUCACGGUAUUUGCAUGAUGUAAUAUGUACUUAAAUCAUGUAUGGCUCCAUAGGUACGAUACAUAGUAUUUGGUAGUUGUCGAAUGUAUGGCACAAAGAAUUACGAAACACAUUUGGACACAGAUAGGACUUCAUAAUCUCAACCAAUACUUUUCUUAUUUCCGGGGAGUCACCCAUGUCCUCAUGCAAACAUAAUUAUUCAAGUACAACUCAUAAGUAAUCUAGAAGAGGGCAGAACCAACGAUGGGUUGCUGCAAGAAGGCGGCGGGACUCGUCAAAGCUAGUUGGUUGACUAGCUGUUGCUGCUGCCAGAAGGCGGCGGGGUUUGCCAAUGCAAGUGGGUUCAAUGGUGACAGUUGCUGCUGCAAGAUGGCGGCUGGGUUCACAGCAGCCAGUUGGUUGAACGGAAGCAGCUGUUGUUGCUGCAAGAAGGCAGCGGGGUUCGCCAGGGCCAGCUGGUUGAACGGGAGUAGCGUCUGUUGUUGCAAGUAUGCGGCGGGGUUCGCCAAGGCUAGUUGGUUCAACGGUGAUAGAAUGCGUUGUUGCUGUGCCGUGAUGCUCUGUACUGUCAGAUGAGAUAGGGAUUGCUGCUGCAAUAAGGCCGACUGUUGUGGUAGGAACAUGGCCGAUGAUGGUAGGAUGCUUGCUGCAAGUGCCUGCUGUAGCCUGUAGGAUUGCACAAUUGGGUGUUCAUACCCAAGAGCUGUGUAAGGUGAGAGGUACUGGGGAAUUGUGGCUGCGGCGGCGGCUACUGAGCACUGUGGGACAAGGACCGCGGUAGCAGCGCUCACUGAAAGAGCAAGGAGCGCAAGGAAGGCAAAUAUCUUGGCUGCCAUUGUUGCUAAGAGGUUGGUUGUCGGUUUCAAUGUCUAUGUUGCUAGAUUGAUGGGUGAUUGGAAUACCUACACAACAUUUGGGGCCUAUUUAUAGGCAUGAGAGCUCAUGUAGCUUUAGCAAGAUUUUUGCUUGUGCCUUGCAAAUCGCUAGCUUGAUAAACUAGAGACGACAUGGUAUCUAGUCAAUUUUGGCAUUUAGUGAUAAAUACCCUUGUGUUGUAAUGUAUGUGUUGGCAAGACAACUUGCAGUUGUACAAGCAAAAAAGUGUCUUCUUCUGUUGGUAUUGUCUUUGUGACAACAUCAUGGUCGGUUCACCUUUAAACACGUGAAAGUCUUAGCCACAAAAAUAUGUGUUCCACUUUGUUAAAGUUGGUUUGUAAAGCUGUGAUUUGCUGAUGUGGAUCCAAAUCAUUUUGAGCUUCAUUGUUCAUCUAACUCGGAUAGGAUUUGUUCCAUGAGCCAAUCCUCAUGGAUGAUAGAGGUAACACACUAGUUCUAGAAGAAGUUAUCAAGUAAGUAAUGAGCCAAUACACAAGAACCUAGAUUAAGUCAGUAUUGUAAGUCAUGCAAACAAGGUGUUUGCGUUGUGGUUGCGAGGAAUCCGUUUGCAAUCGGUGUGCAUAUAUUGCACCAGAUCUACGCAUGCAUAUGUUAGAGCUAUCUCUCUAAAGGUGAAAGUCGCUCAAAGUGGGAGGACCGCUGCUUGUGCACAUUGUAGUUUCCCAAGAUUCUACUUUUGACAUAUUUGAAUGUAUUCUACCUUGUCUACAGAUACAUAUUGUAGGGCCAUCUAUAUCGAUCCAUAGGAAGUUUUUUUUUUCCUGCUUUUGCAUAAUAUUUCUAUGAAAAGUUGAAGAUAGUGUUUCUGGAUGUGUGGUAACAAUGGAUCGAAUUAAAACCUAGACUCUUUUGUUUUCCAUAUAUACUCAGGAACCAAUUUCAUCGGUGCACAACAACAUGAGACACUGGCGCUCAACUUAACCGUAUCAUAUUGCCAUUCAAUUCUUGGGUGCGACAUGCCUAUGGCUACAAAGAAGAUGAUAUUCCGACCCUAUACGCUACCUCUAUUAAACUAUUACGCCGGUUAAAAGUGUUGUAUCGUUCACUUUAUGAAUUUGAAUAAUGACUUUUGAGAUGUUUGCACAAGAUAACAGGAAGCGCAAUGAGUCCUUCGUCUAAGCUCAUCAGCACCAUUUUACGGUACCAUGUGAAUCAAACAUGUAACCAAAAAAUUUUAAACAAUGAUGUCUGGUUUAUGAGCAUGUAUUGUUCCCCAUCAUGCUAGCAACGUAGACUAUUGUGAUACGUGUGUUAUGUUAUAUACUUGGGUUGAACCUGUUUUGCCAAAAAUUUAUGUCCAUUCUUGAGAGAGGUUUCAUGCGUCAAAUUGGUAGAAUCAAGAAGUCGUGGGCCAUAGCAAGGUCAAUUUUUUUGCGUUCCUAGGAUUUAUCCAUGCCCAUAUCUUCACUGUAUAUGGAAGCAUGCAUGACUUUUUGCUAGAAAAAAAUAUUGAUCAUGUGUGUAAAGAUGAUAUAAGUACGAAAUAAGAUGUAAUGACUUUAUCGAAAAAUUUUGGGCUCAACUUUGGCCUUCUUCGUGAGAACUAUGUUAUACUCAGGGAUUUCAGUGGCAAUGAUUGAAACAUGUAGAUAUACUGGCAUAUAACAUGCACAAUAAUAAUUAGUGAUGUUGACCAAUUCUCUCUCCUAUGGAACAUUCGAAACAACCAUUGUGUUAUCUUAAGUCCUACUACGCGCCCGUGGCAUGGCUGUGCUGUCCCAUCUAGUGAAAUCUGAACUUUCGGAGAUACUGAACCGCCUCACGGUAUUUGCAUGAUGUAAUAUGUACUUAAAUCAUGUAUGGCUCCAUAGGUACGAUACAUAGUAUUUGGUAGUUGUCGAAUGUAUGGCACAAAGAAUUACGAAACACAUUUGGACACAGAUAGGACUUCAUAAUCUCAACCAAUACUUUUCUUAUUUCCGGGGAGUCACCCAUGUCCUCAUGCAAACAUAAUUAUUCAAGUACAACUCAUAAGUAAUCUAGAAGAGGGCAGAACCAACGAUGGGUUGCUGCAAGAAGGCGGCGGGACUCGUCAAAGCUAGUUGGUUGACUAGCUGUUGCUGCUGCCAGAAGGCGGCGGGGUUUGCCAAUGCAAGUGGGUUCAAUGGUGACAGUUGCUGCUGCAAGAUGGCGGCUGGGUUCACAGCAGCCAGUUGGUUGAACGGAAGCAGCUGUUGUUGCUGCAAGAAGGCAGCGGGGUUCGCCAGGGCCAGCUGGUUGAACGGGAGUAGCGUCUGUUGUUGCAAGUAUGCGGCGGGGUUCGCCAAGGCUAGUUGGUUCAACGGUGAUAGAAUGCGUUGUUGCUGUGCCGUGAUGCUCUGUACUGUCAGAUGAGAUAGGGAUUGCUGCUGCAAUAAGGCCGACUGUUGUGGUAGGAACAUGGCCGAUGAUGGUAGGAUGCUUGCUGCAAGUGCCUGCUGUAGCCUGUAGGAUUGCACAAUUGGGUGUUCAUACCCAAGAGCUGUGUAAGGUGAGAGGUACUGGGGAAUUGUGGCUGCGGCGGCGGCUACUGAGCACUGUGGGACAAGGACCGCGGUAGCAGCGCUCACUGAAAGAGCAAGGAGCGCAAGGAAGGCAAAUAUCUUGGCUGCCAUUGUUGCUAAGAGGUUGGUUGUCGGUUUCAAUGUCUAUGUUGCUAGAUUGAUGGGUGAUUGGAAUACCUACACAACAUUUGGGGCCUAUUUAUAGGCAUGAGAGCUCAUGUAGCUUUAGCAAGAUUUUUGCUUGUGCCUUGCAAAUCGCUAGCUUGAUAAACUAGAGAUGACAUGGUAUCUAGUCAAUUUUGGCAUUUAGUGAUAAAUACCCUUGUGUUGUAAUGUAUGUGUUGGCAAGACAACUUGCAGUUGUACAAGCAAAAAAGUGUCUUCUUCUGUUGGUAUUGUCUUUGUGACAACAUCAUGGUCGGUUCACCUUUAAACACGUGAAAGUCUUAGCCACAAAAAUAUGUGUUCCACUUUGUUAAAGUUGGUUUGUAAAGCUGUGAUUUGCUGAUGUGGAUCCAAAUCAUUUUGAGCUUCAUUGUUCAUCUAACUCGGAUAGGAUUUGUUCCAUGAGCCAAUCCUCAUGGAUGAUAGAGGUAACACACUAGUUCUAGAAGAAGUUAUCAAGUAAGUAAUGAGCCAAUACACAAGAACCUAGAUUAAGUCAGUAUUGUAAGUCAUGCAAACAAGGUGUUUGCGUUGUGGUUGCGAGGAAUCCGUUUGCAAUCGGUGUGCAUAUAUUGCACCAGAUCUACGCAUGCAUAUGUUAGAGCUAUCUCUCUAAAGGUGAAAGUCGCUCAAAGUGGGAGGACCGCUGCUUGUGCACAUUGUAGUUUCCCAAGAUUCUACUUUUGACAUAUUUGAAUGUAUUCUACCUUGUCUACAGAUACAUAUUGUAGGGCCAUCUAUAUCGAUCCAUAGGAAGUUUUUUUUUUCCUGCUUUUGCAUAAUAUUUCUAUGAAAAGUUGAAGAUAGUGUUUCUGGAUGUGUGGUAACAAUGGAUCGGAUUAAAACCUAGACUCUUUUGUUUUCCAUAUAUACUCAGGAACCAAUUUCAUCGGUGCACAACAACAUGAGACACGGGCGCUCAACUUAACCGUAUCAUAUUGCCAUUCAAUUCUUGGGUGCGACAUGCCUAUGGCUACAAAGAAGAUGAUAUUCCGACCCUAUACGCUACCUCUAUUAAACUAUUACGCCGGUUAAAAGUGUUGUAUCGUUCACUUUAUGAAUUUGAAUAAUGACUUUUGAGAUGUUUGCACAAGAUAACAGGAAGCGCAAUGAGUCCUUCGUCUAAGCUCAUCAGCACCAUUUUACGGCAACAUGUGAAUCAAACAUGUAACCAAAAAAUUUUAAACAAUGAUGUCUGGUUUAUGAGCAUGUAUUGUUCCCCAUCAUGCUAGCAACGUAGACUAUUGUGAUACGUGUGUUAUGUUAUAUACUUGGGUUGAACCUGUUUUGCCAAAAAUUUAUGUCCAUUCUUGAGAGAGGUUUCAUGCGUCAAAUUGGUAGAAUCAAGAAGUCGUGGGCCAUAGCAAGGUCAAUUUUUUUUGCGUUCCUAGGAUUUAUCCAUGCCCAUAUCUUCACUGUAUAUGGAAGCAUGCAUGACUUUUUGCUAGAAAAAAAUAUUGAUCAUGUGUGUAAAGAUGAUAUAAGUACGAAAUAAGAUGUAAUGACUUUAUCGAAAAAUUUUGGGCUCAACUUUGGCCUUCUUCGUGAGAACUAUGUUAUACUCAGGGAUUUCAGUGGCAAUGAUUGAAACAUGUAGAUAUACUGGCAUAUAACAUGCACAAUAAUAAUUAGUGAUGUUGACCAAUUCUCUCUCCUAUGGAACAUUCGAAACAACCAUUGUGUUAUCUUAAGUCCUACUACGCGCCCGUGGCAUGGCUGUGCUGUCCCAUCUAGUGAAAUCUGAACUUUCGGAGAUACUGAACCGCCUCACGGUAUUUGCAUGAUGUAAUAUGUACUUAAAUCAUGUAUGGCUCCAUAGGUACGAUACAUAGUAUUUGGUAGUUGUCGAAUGUAUGGCACAAAGAAUUACGAAACACAUUUGGACACAGAUAGGACUUCAUAAUCUCAACCAAUACUUUUCUUAUUUCCGGGGAGUCACCCAUGUCCUCAUGCAAACAUAAUUAUUCAAGUACAACUCAUAAGUAAUCUAGAAGAGGGCAGAACCAACGAUGGGUUGCUGCAAGAAGGCGGCGGGACUCGUCAAAGCUAGUUGGUUGACUAGCUGUUGCUGCUGCCAGAAGGCGGCGGGGUUUGCCAAUGCAAGUGGGUUCAAUGGUGACAGUUGCUGCUGCAAGAUGGCGGCUGGGUUCACAGCAGCCAGUUGGUUGAACGGAAGCAGCUGUUGUUGCUGCAAGAAGGCAGCGGGGUUCGCCAGGGCCAGCUGGUUGAACGGGAGUAGCGUCUGUUGUUGCAAGUAUGCGGCGGGGUUCGCCAAGGCUAGUUGGUUCAACGGUGAUAGAAUGCGUUGUUGCUGUGCCGUGAUGCUCUGUACUGUCAGAUGAGAUAGGGAUUGCUGCUGCAAUAAGGCCGACUGUUGUGGUAGGAACAUGGCCGAUGAUGGUAGGAUGCUUGCUGCAAGUGCCUGCUGUAGCCUGUAGGAUUGCACAAUUGGGUGUUCAUACCCAAGAGCUGUGUAAGGUGAGAGGUACUGGGGAAUUGUGGCUGCGGCGGCGGCUACUGAGCACUGUGGGACAAGGACCGCGGUAGCAGCGCUCACUGAAAGAGCAAGGAGCGCAAGGAAGGCAAAUAUCUUGGCUGCCAUUGUUGCUAAGAGGUUGGUUGUCGGUUUCAAUGUCUAUGUUGCUAGAUUGAUGGGUGAUUGGAAUACCUACACAACAUUUGGGGCCUAUUUAUAGGCAUGAGAGCUCAUGUAGCUUUAGCAAGAUUUUUGCUUGUGCCUUGCAAAUCGCUAGCUUGAUAAACUAGAGAUGACAUGGUAUCUAGUCAAUUUUGGCAUUUAGUGAUAAAUACCCUUGUGUUGUAAUGUAUGUGUUGGCAAGACAACUUGCAGUUGUACAAGCAAAAAAGUGUCUUCUUCUGUUGGUAUUGUCUUUGUGACAACAUCAUGGUCGGUUCACCUUUAAACACGUGAAAGUCUUAGCCACAAAAAUAUGUGUUCCACUUUGUUAAAGUUGGUUUGUAAAGCUGUGAUUUGCUGAUGUGGAUCCAAAUCAUUUUGAGCUUCAUUGUUCAUCUAACUCGGAUAGGAUUUGUUCCAUGAGCCAAUCCUCAUGGAUGAUAGAGGUAACACACUAGUUCUAGAAGAAGUUAUCAAGUAAGUAAUGAGCCAAUACACAAGAACCUAGAUUAAGUCAGUAUUGUAAGUCAUGCAAACAAGGUGUUUGCGUUGUGGUUGCGAGGAAUCCGUUUGCAAUCGGUGUGCAUAUAUUGCACCAGAUCUACGCAUGCAUAUGUUAGAGCUAUCUCUCUAAAGGUGAAAGUCGCUCAAAGUGGGAGGACCGCUGCUUGUGCACAUUGUAGUUUCCCAAGAUUCUACUUUUGACAUAUUUGAAUGUAUUCUACCUUGUCUACAGAUACAUAUUGUAGGGCCAUCUAUAUCGAUCCAUAGGAAGUUUUUUUUUUCCUGCUUUUGCAUAAUAUUUCUAUGAAAAGUUGAAGAUAGUGUUUCUGGAUGUGUGGUAACAAUGGAUCGGAUUAAAACCUAGACUCUUUUGUUUUCCAUAUAUACUCAGGAACCAAUUUCAUCGGUGCACAACAACAUGAGACACGGGCGCUCAACUUAACCGUAUCAUAUUGCCAUUCAAUUCUUGGGUGCGACAUGCCUAUGGUUACAAAGAAGAUGAUAUUCCGACCCUAUACGCUACCUCUAUUAAACUAUUACGCCGGUUAAAAGUGUUGUAUCGUUCACUUUAUGAAUUUGAAUAAUGACUUUUGAGAUGUUUGCACAAGAUAACAGGAAGCGCAAUGAGUCCUUCGUCUAAGCUCAUCAGCACCAUUUUACGGCAACAUGUGAAUCAAACAUGUAACCAAAAAAUUUUAAACAAUGAUGUCUGGUUUAUGAGCAUGUAUUGUUCCCCAUCAUGCUAGCAACGUAGACUAUUGUGAUACGUGUGUUAUGUUAUAUACUUGGGUUGAACCUGUUUUGCCAAAAAUUUAUGUCCAUUCUUGAGAGAGGUUUCAUGCGUCAAAUUGGUAGAAUCAAGAAGUCGUGGGCCAUAGCAAGGUCAAUUUUUUUUGCGUUCCUAGGAUUUAUCCAUGCCCAUAUCUUCACUGUAUAUGGAAGCAUGCAUGACUUUUUGCUAGAAAAAAAUAUUGAUCAUGUGUGUAAAGAUGAUAUAAGUACGAAAUAAGAUGUAAUGACUUUAUCGAAAAAUUUUGGGCUCAACUUUGGCCUUCUUCGUGAGAACUAUGUUAUACUCAGGGAUUUCAGUGGCAAUGAUUGAAACAUGUAGAUAUACUGGCAUAUAACAUGCACAAUAAUAAUUAGUGAUGUUGACCAAUUCUCUCUCCUAUGGAACAUUCGAAACAACCAUUGUGUUAUCUUAAGUCCUACUACGCGCCCGUGGCAUGGCUGUGCUGUCCCAUCUAGUGAAAUCUGAACUUUCGGAGAUACUGAACCGCCUCACGGUAUUUGCAUGAUGUAAUAUGUACUUAAAUCAUGUAUGGCUCCAUAGGUACGAUACAUAGUAUUUGGUAGUUGUCGAAUGUAUGGCACAAAGAAUUACGAAACACAUUUGGACACAGAUAGGACUUCAUAAUCUCAACCAAUACUUUUCUUAUUUCCGGGGAGUCACCCAUGUCCUCAUGCAAACAUAAUUAUUCAAGUACAACUCAUAAGUAAUCUAGAAGAGGGCAGAACCAACGAUGGGUUGCUGCAAGAAGGCGGCGGGACUCGUCAAAGCUAGUUGGUUGACUAGCUGUUGCUGCUGCCAGAAGGCGGCGGGGUUUGCCAAUGCAAGUGGGUUCAAUGGUGACAGUUGCUGCUGCAAGAUGGCGGCUGGGUUCACAGCAGCCAGUUGGUUGAACGGAAGCAGCUGUUGUUGCUGCAAGAAGGCAGCGGGGUUCGCCAGGGCCAGCUGGUUGAACGGGAGUAGCGUCUGUUGUUGCAAGUAUGCGGCGGGGUUCGCCAAGGCUAGUUGGUUCAACGGUGAUAGAAUGCGUUGUUGCUGUGCCGUGAUGCUCUGUACUGUCAGAUGAGAUAGGGAUUGCUGCUGCAAUAAGGCCGACUGUUGUGGUAGGAACAUGGCCGAUGAUGGUAGGAUGCUUGCUGCAAGUGCCUGCUGUAGCCUGUAGGAUUGCACAAUUGGGUGUUCAUACCCAAGAGCUGUGUAAGGUGAGAGGUACUGGGGAAUUGUGGCUGCGGCGGCGGCUACUGAGCACUGUGGGACAAGGACCGCGGUAGCAGCGCUCACUGAAAGAGCAAGGAGCGCAAGGAAGGCAAAUAUCUUGGCUGCCAUUGUUGCUAAGAGGUUGGUUGUCGGUUUCAAUGUCUAUGUUGCUAGAUUGAUGGGUGAUUGGAAUACCUACACAACAUUUGGGGCCUAUUUAUAGGCAUGAGAGCUCAUGUAGCUUUAGCAAGAUUUUUGCUUGUGCCUUGCAAAUCGCUAGCUUGAUAAACUAGAGAUGACAUGGUAUCUAGUCAAUUUUGGCAUUUAGUGAUAAAUACCCUUGUGUUGUAAUGUAUGUGUUGGCAAGACAACUUGCAGUUGUACAAGCAAAAAAGUGUCUUCUUCUGUUGGUAUUGUCUUUGUGACAACAUCAUGGUCGGUUCACCUUUAAACACGUGAAAGUCUUAGCCACAAAAAUAUGUGUUCCACUUUGUUAAAGUUGGUUUGUAAAGGUGUGAUUUGCUGAUGUGGAUGCAAAUCAUUUUGAGCUUCAUUGUUCAUCUGACUCGGAUAGGAUUUGUUCCAUGAGCCAAUCCUCAUGGAUGAUAGAGGUAACACACUAGUUCUAGAAGAAGUUAUCAAGUAAGUAAUGAGCCAAUACACAAGAACCUAGAUUAAGUCAGUAUUGUAAGUCAUGCAAACAAGGUGUUUGCGUUGUGGUUGCGAGGAAUCCGUUUGCAAUCGGUGUGCAUAUAUUGCACCAGAUCUACGCAUGCAUAUGUUAGAGCUAUCUCUCUAAAGGUGAAAGUCGCUCAAAGUGGGAGGACCGCUGCUUGUGCACAUUGUAGUUUCCCAAGAUUCUACUUUUGACAUAUUUGAAUGUAUUCUACCUUGUCUACAGAUACAUAUUGUAGGGACAUCUAUAUGGAUCCAAUGGAAGUUUUUUUUCCUGCUUUUGCAUAAUAUUUCUAUGAAAAGUUGAAGAUAGUGUUUCUGGAUGUGUGGUAACAAUGGAUCGGAUUAAAACCUAGACUCUUUUGUUUUCCAUAUAUACUCAGGAACCAAUUUCAUCGGUGCACAACAAAAUGAGACACUGGCGCUCAACUUAACCGUAUCAUAUUGCCAUUCAAUUCUUGGGUGCGACAUGCCUAUGGCUACAAAGAAGAUGAUAUUCCGACCCUAUACGCUACCUCUAUUAAACUAUUACGCCGGUUAAAAGUGUUGUAUCGUUCACUUUAUGAAUUUGAAUAAUGACUUUUGAGAUGUUUGCACAAGAUAACAGGAAGCGCAAUGAGUCCUUCGUCUAAGCUCAUCAGCACCAUUUUACGGCAACAUGUGAAUCAAACAUGUAACCAAAAAAUUUUAAACAAUGAUGUCUGGUUUAUGAGCAUGUAUUGUUCCCCAUCAUGCUAGCAACGUAGACUAUUGUGAUACGUGUGUUAUGUUAUAUACUUGGGUUGAACCUGUUUUGCCAAAAAUUUAUGUCCAUUCUUGAGAGAGGUUUCAUGCGUCAAAUUGGUAGAAUCAAGAAGUCGUGGGCCAUAGCAAGGUCAAUUUUUUUUGCGUUCCUAGGAUUUAUCCAUGCCCAUAUCUUCACUGUAUAUGGAAGCAUGCAUGACUUUUUGCUAGAAAAAAAUAUUGAUCAUGUGUGUAAAGAUGAUAUAAGUACGAAAUAAGAUGUAAUGACUUUAUCGAAAAAUUUUGGGCUCAACUUUGGCCUUCUUCGUGAGAACUAUGUUAUACUCAGGGAUUUCAGUGGCAAUGAUUGAAACAUGUAGAUAUACUGGCAUAUAACAUGCACAAUAAUAAUUAGUGAUGUUGACCAAUUCUCUCUCCUAUGGAACAUUCGAAACAACCAUUGUGUUAUCUUAAGUCCUACUACGCGCCCGUGGCAUGGCUGUGCUGUCCCAUCUAGUGAAAUCUGAACUUUUGGAGAUACUGAACCGCCUCACGGUAUUUGCAUGAUGUAAUAUGUACUUAAAUCAUGUAUGGCUCCAUAGGUACGAUACAUAGUAUUUGGUAGUUGUCGAAUGUAUGGCACAAAGAAUUACGAAACACAUUUGGACACAGAUAGGACUUCAUAAUCUCAACCAAUACUUUUCUUAUUUCCGGGGAGUCACCCAUGUCCUCAUGCAAACAUAAUUAUUCAAGUACAACUCAUAAGUAAUCUAGAAGAGGGCAGAACCAACGAUGGGUUGCUGCAAGAAGGCGGCGGGACUCGUCAAAGCUAGUUGGUUGACUAGCUGUUGCUGCUGCCAGAAGGCGGCGGGGUUUGCCAAUGCAAGUGGGUUCAAUGGUGACAGUUGCUGCUGCAAGAUGGCGGCUGGGUUCACAGCAGCCAGUUGGUUGAACGGAAGCAGCUGUUGUUGCUGCAAGAAGGCAGCGGGGUUCGCCAGGGCCAGCUGGUUGAACGGGAGUAGCGUCUGUUGUUGCAAGUAUGCGGCGGGGUUCACCAAGGCUAGUUGGUUCAACGGUGAUAGAAUGCGUUGUUGCUGUGCCGUGAUGCUCUGUACUGUCAGAUGAGAUAGGGAUUGCUGCUGCAAUAAGGCCGACUGUUGUGGUAGGAACAUGGCCGAUGAUGGUAGGAUGCUUGCUGCAAGUGCCUGCUGUAGCCUGUAGGAUUGCACAAUUGGGUGUUCAUACCCAAGAGCUGUGUAAGGUGAGAGGUACUGGGGAAUUGUGGCUGCGGCGGCGGCUACUGAGCACUGUGGGACAAGGACCGCGGUAGCAGCGCUCACUGAAAGAGCAAGGAGCGCAAGGAAGGCAAAUAUCUUGGCUGCCAUUGUUGCUAAGAGGUUGGUUGUCGGUUUCAAUGUCUAUGUUGCUAGAUUGAUGGGUGAUUGGAAUACCUACACAACAUUUGGGGCCUAUUUAUAGGCAUGAGAGCUCAUGUAGCUUUAGCAAGAUUUUUGCUUGUGCCUUGCAAAUCGCUAGCUUGAUAAACUAGAGAUGACAUGGUAUCUAGUCAAUUUUGGCAUUUAGUGAUAAAUACCCUUGUGUUGUAAUGUAUGUGUUGGCAAGACAACUUGCAGUUGUACAAGCAAAAAAGUGUCUUCUUCUGUUGGUAUUGUCUUUGUGACAACAUCAUGGUCGGUUCACCUUUAAACACGUGAAAGUCUUAGCCACAAAAAUAUGUGUUCCACUUUGUUAAAGUUGGUUUGUAAAGGUGUGAUUUGCUGAUGUGGAUGCAAAUCAUUUUGAGCUUCAUUGUUCAUCUGACUCGGAUAGGAUUUGUUCCAUGAGCCAAUCCUCAUGGAUGUCAUUGAGUCGUUCAUGUUUUCUCACCUGCUAGAAUGCUUUGCACCAAUGAUGAGCAUUACACUGCAAGAGACAUUCUAAGUCAAUAUUGUGAGAUGAUCAAGUUGGGCAAAUCCCACCAAUUCCUAGGAAAAAAGAGAAAAAGGAAAUAUAGGAUCCGGGUCGCGUGAAAAAACAUGAACAUUGCUUCGUAGAAAUCCGACCCAAAGGAGGAAGAACAUUGAGUAGACUCUGCAUUGUUCAAUUUGUGUCAUCUCGCUCGCUCGCUCUCUCUCCAUUUUGUUUUUUGCUAGUUUUACCACAACAUUUAUAUGAGCCCCUCCAAGUUUCGAAGGACAUAAGAAUCAGGCACUACUCACUAGCCAUCUAUAGCCCACAAAAUCCUUUUCUUCUCUAUUUUUUUUCGGUUCGACCUGCUCCCAAUUUCAGCCCACAGUCCGAUCCGACCCAACACCGUACCCCAGCACGGCCAUAUAUUGCACUCAGAAGUCCGUAACAAACUCUGAAAGGAAGAAAUCUGCAGACCACAUAACCUGCAAACCUACCCUAAUCCGUGCUUUAACGCCAAUCCGGAUCGAUCGAGGACUCUGAGUUCAAUUCGGACUCCUGCCUAGAUGCACUGCAAUAUUAGCAGAGACGAGCAACCCCGGCCUGACGCCGACGGCUACCUGACCUCUUCUAAUUCAGGGCCAACGCGUUCUGUCAGACGGAGGAGGGCUAUCAGAAGUUGCAGAAGUGCGUGCGCAAAGAGAUGGAGGCCAAGGAGGGCUAUGUCGAGGUAGACGACGAUUGGGUCAGGCAGAAGGCAGGCUUACAGGCAGCCAUUGAACGGGUACUGAAGAAACUCGAAGGGAUACUCGAGCCGGAGACUGAGUCUUCGUCUUCGUCCGAUGACGAUGGCAGCGACGACUACACGUCGGAUGAGGAGGAAGAUUAUGACGACAACGACAUCAGCGACUGCUCUUCGGAUGAGGAAGAUGAUGGUGACGACAGUGACUACUCAUCAUCAGACGAAGAGGAAGAUGACAACGAUGAUGGCAGCGACUGCUCGUCAGAUGACGAGGAGGAAGACGACGAUGAUGAGGACGACAGCAGCUACUUCUCGUCGGAUGAGGAGGAAGAUGACCACGACAGUGACUACUCAUCGGAUGAGGAGGACGACGAUGAGGACAGCUACAGCUCCUCAGAUGAGGAGGAGGAUUGUUUUGCGAUCCUUGGCGAUUGUGCAAUGCUAGGCUUUAAUUUGAUAACCUUCGUGCCACGCGCAGUACUUACUAGGUUCAACUUCCGUUUUGUAUUGGCUGCAUGCAUUACGGCUUUCUUCGUCCUGUAUGGAUAAUUGAUCAUUUUAACUGGAUCUUCUCAUACCAAUUUCUUAGUCUUCAUGAUGUUGGAUUCGUUCAAUUGCUACGCAAUAUUUCUCGCUAAUGCGGGAGGUUCUCAGUGGACUGGGAACGCAGUGCAAUCACAAUUUCUGUUUGUUGAUUGAAAGUGUACGUUUCAGUGCUGUGAAUAUCUAUUGUCAUACAAAUUAAAAGUUCAGGAUCCACAAGGUCUUGCGCAAUGAAAGUUACCUCUUUAUUAGAAUGAAAAAGUUUAUAUUGUUUGUGGUGGAAAGUUUUAGAUGUUUUACUUACUUAUUAAAAGUGACAGAGCAGAUGAUGUAAGGAGGGCUUGGACUACUACUAUCACCAUGGCGAGCCCCACGAAAUGUUAAGCAAGAUGCCAAUAAUGGGAUGGAGAGUUGUCCCUAUUUUUUAACCUAAGGUCCUAGAGAACAAUACUACUUAAGCAUGGAAGGUAAAAGAUUCUUAUUUCUUAACAAAUAUGUGUCAUGACUCUGGUUCGAUCACAUGGCAAACUGCAAACAAAUUUUGUAUGACCAAACUGAAGAUCUGGAUCUGAUCUGGUGAGUUUCAAACAAUAUUAUUAAGUAAUGCAAAAUUUUUAUGAGUUUCAAACAAUAUAUAUAUAUAUAUAUAUAUAUAUAUAUAUAUAUAUAUAUCGUCGCCAAAAAGAAAAGGUAUCCUGUGCAUAUCAAUAUCCAGUUAUAAGUUAAUCGGAGCUUAAAUUGCUACUAUACCUAACAGUAAUCCAACCCUGAUGAUCCCACGAAUUUGAGUGUUUGAUGCUUAUUUACUCCCUCCGUUUCAUUUCAAAUUUUAGGUCAUUUUGAUUUUUCUAAGUUCAUAGAUAUUAUUAUGCAUCUAGACAUAUAUCUAUGCAUAAUAAUAUCUAUGCACCUAGAAAACUAAAAGGAACUAUAAUUUGGAACGAAGGGAGUAUUUAUUUUUUUACCUAAGUUCCAAUAGCGCAACAAAAUCCAGGGGUCGUCAUGAAGAUUCAUGAAUGUUAUGAAUUUAGCAAAAUCCACGUUAUUAGACUGACGUGGCAGUAGAGUGUAGCAUGCAGGGUGCAUUGUUUUAGUAGCGAAUUAUGUCAGUAGUAAUACGUACCAACUCGAUGCGGCCCUGCAGCAGUGCAGCUGUUCUUCUCCGCUCUCGUCGUGCUCCCCAUAGCACGAUCGAUAUCCCUUCCUGAACCAGCGGUGUCUGUUCCUGAACCAGCGGGCGAUGCAGCUGAUCGAGGACACCCGCAUCACCGUGCACGCACAGUGCGGGCCCACCGUGUCCUGCGCCGACAUCCUGGCCCUCGCCACCCGCCGCGCCGUCGUCCGCGCAGGCGGCUGAACCUUCCCUGUCCGCCUCGGCCGCUAUGACAACGUCGCGCCGGCGACCCACCGCGACGUCGCCGCCAUCCCGCUGCCGAACACCAGCGACGCCGACAAGCUCCUCGCCGCCUUCGCCAGCCGGGGCCUCACCGACCUCGUCGAGCUCUCCGGCGCGCACUCCAUCGGCAAGGCGCACUGUGCCCGUCGUUCCGCGACCGGGCGGCGCUGUACGACGACGACUUCACCAGGAAGCUCUUCAGGGAGGGACGCGUACAUGGUGGAGGACCUCGACGGCGUCACGCCGCGGGCGCUCGACAGCCAGUACUACAGGAACCUGCUGUACAGGGGCGAGGGGGUGCUGACAUCCGACGUGGCGCUGCUGAGUCACCCGUUGACUGCCAUGUGGGUGAGGUACUACAACGAUCACCCGCAGGAGUUCCUCAACCAUUUCUCGUCCAAGAUGGACAAGCUCUACAACGUGCCCCGCGCCGGGUUCGGCGAGAUCCGACGGUUCAGCUGCUUCAGGACCAACAAUGGCAGGUUCGUCGACCGCGGCGGCGACGUCGGCGAGGGGGAGGGGCACCCAGCUUCUGCUUGAUGGUCUUUGUUCUCCUCUUUGUUACGCCGUGUGCCCAAACAUGUUAUGCUCAUUAGCUAGCGCACUGUUUUGCGUGCAAUGUAAUAAGACUGUGCGCGAUGUAGUCAUCUCAUCGGCUGCUUUGCUUUUCUUUCCUCCAUAGGACAGUGUAUGUAUGUUGUUUUGCUUCUAUUUCAUUCAAAUUGAAAUGAGAUCUGCAUGGCACGCUACUGAGAUGCUUCCACUCGUCGAUUUGGCAGCUAGUGGAAUCUGAGAAUAUGAAAUGUCCUUGAGACAAAAACUUUAUUUUAAAAAAUGGUCUCUAGCAGGGAACAAAACGUGGUUGAAAUAUAUGAACUUGACUGAAAAGCCAAUCAACUAUGCUAACCGCUAUGAAUUAAGUUACUACACUGUUCUCUGAGUUGCUACAUCAUGAUUUGAGAAGAUUAUAUUCUACAUUACCUGUUACAACAUCCUUGCUACUUUGAGAUCUUGAAAGGGCACGGGGGAUAUUGGUUUAGUUAUCGGAGUAUUGUCAUAUUGUGCGAUAUAGAGUGCCUGACAGCGACUGUAUUUACCUUCUUCACUCUUUCAACUCGAAAAUUCUGCUAGUUACGUGAUGAGAUCGGUGCCGACCAAUGUGCAAAGUAACACAACCACAACUUAUGAGCAACUAGUGCCGGCUGUGUUUGCCCUUAGCUAAAAGGUUGGGCGUUCUCCACGUUGAACCCUUGAGAGUUUGUUCGGUUAAUCCCCUCCCCAAGGUGGCGGUGUUUGGGAUACUGAACAAGGCAGGGGUGGCAGAGACAUAUUUUUUUUGUGGGGGGGGGGGGGGGGGGGGGGGGAUGUGGUGGUGAGAGAUUUAUGGUUUUUGAGUUCGGGAAGGAUAAAUGCAGAGGUAAAAUGGACUUUGUCUCCCCAAAAUAUUUGGCACGGAAUUCUCUAGCUAGUAUAGGAGUAUACACAUAUGCAUAGUGCACUAGAACAACGUUAUUAAUUGCAGUGUUAUCUUGCUUUAGUGAUGAUUAUCUGGUCUGGCCGUCCACAUCAUCCAUCCAUGCAUGUGCUUUCGGGAUAAGAAGGCAAUAAAAAAUGAAGGAAGAUGAUCAUAUGUGGAAAGCACUACUGCAGUACUGCUCAUAUGGCCUUCAAGCUUCAGCAUAUAUUUGUACUUCCAACAAAUCCAUCCAUCCCUCCUACCAAACAUAAAACCGGGAAUCUGGGACCAUUCCAUCCCAUAUAACCAAACAAAAAUCAGGAUCAUCCUAUCCAAAAAACUGAGAUGGGACCAUGCCAUCCCACAUUGUCUUCGAACCAAACGCACGCUAAUUAAGAAUAUAGCGUAAUCCUAUAUUCCUGUACGAUAAUCAGCCUCGAAGGUGCUGCAGCAAAAGAAAAUCACUAUCUUUAGUCAUUCCUAAUCGGGGACAAUUCUAAUAGACGGUUUAUGAUUAAAAAGUAAAAAGAAAAGAAAGAUGUUUCAUCUAGAUGAAACAAAAUCUACCUAUUUCCAACACAAAUACUACCCACUACUAGAAAGUGCAAGAUAUAUUUGCCUAGUGUUGCGUAUGAAACAAUAAAUAAUGAAACAAUACAUUGGAACUAUAUAUCGUAAUAAUCAAUUAAAUUCUCCCUUUAAUAGUACGUGGCACUCUUAGAAACGUCAAUCCACGAUUCUUCAUUAGGAUUGGCCUAAUUCAUUAGGAGUAGCUCUUCUUCUGUUCCCUUUACAUUUCCUUUCUCUUUUUUAAGUUGUGGACACGGCCGACAAACUGCUCCACCGAUCGAGUAGCGGCAUGGGGAACGUGUGAGGCUUUUUACAGUAAUGCAUGGUGAUCCUCGUGAUCUGCUGUAAUAGUUAACUACUCAGGUAUUAUCUUGAGAUCAUAAGAUAUUGUUAUGGAAAUUAAAGGUAAUAUAUUUGGCUUUUAACAAAUGUGCAUCACGUAUUAAAACUUCAAAGGCUAAUCUCUUCAUCACGCUACAGCCUAGCUUAACUACUUUCCAUUUUUCCUGUGGUGUAUUUCUUUUCUCAAUCUUAAUAUAAUCACGCACGACGUGCACCUCUCCCCAUUUUCUAAGUUGCAUUCUCUAAAGCCUUGUGAAUCAUUGCAUGUACGGUACAACUGGCACUCUGAGAAUGGAUGGGAUUGCUUGGAAAGCAAGGACAAGUUUUAGGUGUACAACAAACAAGGCAAUUUUUCAUUCAAAUUCGUAUGUUUGGUUCGGAAUAAAACUUACAGUGGGAUACUUUUUGGUGCAAAUAAUCCACCCCAUCAAAACAUUAUUUCAGGGAGAAGUAAAUUUGUUCAAAAGAAAGGACGAUUAAUGCCUACUUAUAUAGGUGUACCCAAUCCCGCCCACCAUUGAAGUCACCGACCCGGCCGUCGCCCGGAGCAUGCUCGUCGACCACGCCGACGUCUUCUCCAACCGCCCGCUCGCGCCCUUCCCCGUCGACUACGACGCCGGGCGGCGCCGCCCCAGCCACAGCAUGAUCAACAUCGUGCCCCACGGCCCGCUGUGGCGCGCGCUCCGGUGCAACCUCAGCGCCGGCGUCCUCCACCGCUCGAGCCUCGGCGUCGUCGCGCCGCUAGCUCCACCGGGACGCCGUCGAGGACCUCGUCGCCGGCCUCUCCGCGCAGGGCCAGGGCGGCGGCGUCCUCCUCCGCGACGCUGUCCACACGGCGGUGCACACGAUCUCCGUGCGCAUGUGCUUUGGCGACGGCGUCGUCACGCGCGACGACGUGCGCGCCAUGCAGGACACGCUCAGGGAGUUCUUCGACAACAUCGUGGAGGCCAGGGGCCUCGCGGCCUCGAGGGUGGCGAGGCUCCUGCACUGGAGGCAGUGGCAGCACUUCGGCGGCACGUUCGACCGGCUCAUCGGGCUCUUCCUCCCUCUGGUCGCGGCGAGGCAGCGGCGGCGAUCUCAAUGCGGUUACGGCGGCGGCGGCGACGACGACGGAGGAACGAUCCGCCCGUACGUCGACUCGCUCCUCGACCUCCGAGUCCCCGACGACGACGUGGACGGCGCGCGCCGCCCGCUCACGGACCACGAGAUGGCGUCGCUCGUGUGGGAGUUCGUCAGCGCCGCCACCGAGACGGCGGUCGCCUGCGUCGAGUGGAAGCUCGCCCACCUCGUCGCCGAUCCAGAACUCCAGGACAACCUACACCGGGAGAUCGCCGACGCCGACCAGGGCGAUGGCGCGAUCUCCGACGAGCGCCUCCGCGACCUGCCGUACCUGCGCGCCGUCAUCCAGGAGAGCCUCCGGUUGCACCCGCCGGUCCCGUUCAUCGUGCGCGACGUCGGCGCGGAGGACGGCACGGUGGCGCGCUACACGCUUAUGGUGGCCGACGUCGGGCGGGACGUCCAUUGGCACCGUACGAACUCGAUUGAUUUGGAUUUGGGAAGUGAUUGCUCUUUCACUCUCGAUCAAAAUUGAUGCCCGCGUACGCAUCGCCUAAUCAACAGGGGAUCAACCUGCAGUUGCAGCUUCCCGUAGACCGGCUCCACCGGCGCGGCGCUUCCGGCCGCCAGCUCGCACGGGUCCAAGAAGGCGACCAAGCUCGUCCCGGCCAUACUGUUGCUGCUGCUCACGGUGGCCGUGCUCGGACGUGGGGACGUUGGGAGCAGAGCAGACGAGAAGAGCAGUGACACGACCUCGCCCGCGAUGAGGAGUCCCGGAGCUCCGGCGAAGGCGCGCUAAGCACUUUGUUGCUUUUGCAGAAUAUUUUACUUGCUCAUUCCCAUUCCCAUCUUUCCUGCUAGUUGUGAUCUGGUUAGUUGAUGCAGCGACAGGUGGAUUUGGACUAGCCUUCGGAAGAAUUGCGCCUGUUUCAUGUUUAAUCCCUACAGCUUUAACUUGCUUCUGAUGAUUUGACUGUGCUGAUGCCAAGUUUUUGUUUAUUUUUGAGAAAUAAAAUAGGUGCGUGAUCUCCUAGAUUCUUAUGUAAUCAAUUUCGAACCUUAGUUGAUAGUGCUGGUGCCAAGUGUGCUCCGAUCGUCCGGACCGCGCGCCGUGGGCUGAACAAGGUGUUUUCAGGCCCAUGUUUUCCAAUAGUGCUGCGGCACACGCGGCUAGGAGGCAAUAAGGGCUGCCUGACGAUGGCCCAGCCCAGGCGGCUUCGACGGGAGACAAGCGAGACGGAUAUGGAUUCGGCCCAACCUGACGAGUUUUUUUUUAUAGUUUUCAGAGGUGGGGGAAAACAAAUGCAGAGGAAUCAACGAAAUUCAUAGGAAUAUUAUGGUUUUCAUCAUCAAAUUGUUGAAGACACACAACACCUCCUACAGCAUAGCCGCAUAGGACACCCGACAUAUCACUUGUCACCUGCAAAUUAACUACGGCACAUCAGUCCCAUGCAAACGAGACAACACCAAACAAAUCAAGCCAAUAACGCCGAGAAUUUUCGUGUCCAGUCCAGCAGCAGAGCUAAUAACCAGUCCAGCAGCAGAGCCAAUAUCCAGACCAUCAUCAGAGCUAAAAGCCUGGUACUGGAUGUUGGAGCGGUAGUAGGUGUUGGGCGCCCAGUUGGCCGGGAUGACCUGGUAAGCCACCAGCUUCUGGCCAGACUCGUUGGUGAUGCGCAGCGAGAAGGGGGCCGUGAGCGGUCGUCUGGUGUCCAACCUCCAGAUGGAUCCCCACGACUCCCGCAUCGGCGUCCACCACCCGGAGUUGGCCUCCAUGAGGUCCACCUGGACGACAUCGCCGUCGCCAUCUUCGAAUUCAACGAGCACCGCCAAGUAGUUAGGGUUUGAGCCGUGCUCGAUGUGGAAGGUCACCAUCUGCCCGGGGUAGAUGCAGGGCACCCUACAGGAACAGGCCAUGUUAUAUGUAAUUUGGAUUAGGCCAUGUUAUAUGUUACAUGUUAUAUAUAAAACACCAAAUUGUAAAGUGGAAGUACUACUGCUAUUUGUGCGAAUCUACUCAAACUGAUUGUUGUCGCUAAAGUUUGUUGAGCAAAAGUACAAGGGCUCCAUAGCAAAGUAGGGCCAUGAGAUUGGUUGGCCUCUGGUUCUAUGAAAUAAGCAGUGCAUGUCACAGACCUCUUGAACUGGAUGUCGAUGAUGCCGGCGUGGCGGAGCUCAUCAUUGCGGCCGGGCUUUGCCAAGGCACCAAACGCCGUGCCGCUGAGGUCAAAGUGGUACUUGGCGACUGGGUAGUAGUUCAUGUCAGUGAUUGCCACCGUCUCCGGAUUGCCGGAGCAUGCAGGGUGGUUGAGGCAUCUUAUCUGAGAAAGGUCAGCAACAAAUGAAAGGAUUUAGUCCACUGUGCCUCAUCUAGUUUUCUCUCAGUGUAUCUCUGUUUCCAUUUUCAUGAGGGCAUCCAACAGCACAAACAAGCUUGUCGACAUCCUAGAAAUAGUAUCUCUGACCAAGUAACGUACCUGGUAGCACGAGCCGCAGCCCUUGCCAUCCUUGAACAGGGGCUGGUUGCCGCAUGACGUCAUGGCCGAGAAAGGAGGCAGGUUCACGUUCUUGAACCCGCAAGCUCCACCUGCAUGCAUGGAAGCUUAUAGAUCGUCCAACAACAAUACACACCAUAUAUAAUCUGGCGCCAUGCACCGACAUUAAUGUACAUACCAUUGUCAUAGGGGCCAGCGCCGGUUGGCGCACCAUACCAAGUUGCCCUGGCAGCCACCCAGUAGGGGUCUGCGGUGAUGUGGGAGGCAUUGAAGUUGACGAUCCUAGUGCAUGAGCCAUACAAGACAAGGAGGAGGAAGAUCAGUGCACGAAGUGCAAUCAUCUUGGACGAGGCGAUCAUGGAUGCCAUCUUACUAGCUAGAUCGUUAGCUGCUAGUACUAGGCAGGCAUGAAGCUCUCUGUUUCGAUGGUCAGCCCGAGAAGCACCUUGCCAGGAUAUCCUUUGGUAGUGGGGUCACAUGGCUCUGGAGCAAACGCAGAGCACCUGAUGUCUUUUUGGUGGAGGGUUACAUGGCUCUGGAGCAAAACAUGAAAGGAAUGGAGGCAUCAGGUCAGUCGCGCUUAUAUAGGAUUUGAAGCUAGGGUGGUCCAAUAAGUCAAAACUUUUGAAUAUCUCAUGUAAAUUAUCAACUUAAAUACAAGAACAAAAGCUUGUCCUACAAACAUCUUCAGAUCCACAAUUAAGUAUUAAAUUUGCCUCAAAAGAGAGCUUACACACUUACAAUAGUUCAAAUAAGACAACAAUACUAUUUCUUCCCGAUGUCGGGCUUAUGCUUUCCAACAGCCAUAAAGUCUCCAUUAUACCAUUAUACCAUCUUCAUUCACACUGAAUAAAACAUCUUCACAAAUUACUAGUUGCUUGCGAAUUUACAGAUGUACAUUCCUACCGCCGGCUACCAAUGUGCAUUCCAUGUUUUCUCACAACAAUGCGCAAUGCGCUACCAAUGCGCUACAAUCCUACAUUCCUAGCUUCCUACCAUGGCUACCAGUGUGCAAGGCUGCAAGCUAACCAAAACAAGUUACGAAUAACUGAAAUUGGUGAGCUACCUUGCUGCUUGCCUACCGGCUUGGUGCUGGGUGUCGGCUGCUUCCCUGUCGCUCCUCUGCUCCUGCUACGCCAGGCUGUCGGCUGAGGGCGCCGCCGGAGAGCCAGCCCACCCGCCGCCGCUGCCGCCCGCCGGAUCUCCUCCGCGCGGCCGCGCCUCCCUUGCCGGACGCCGGCUCGCUCCUCCUCUCCUGCCUCCCUGGCUCCCUCCGUCGACGCGUCGCCCGAGUCGCCGUCGCCGGAUGCCCGGAUCCGGCGGGGGAUGGCCACCGCGCGCCGCCGAUUUGAAUCGGCGAACCCUAGGUCGCCAUCCGCUCCGCCCCCGCGCCUCCGUCUCGCGGCUCGUUCGCCCGUUCGGUCUGCGAUUCGGAGUCGGAGUGGACGGCCUGGAUCGCUUCCGUAUCCGAGUCCGCCGGCGUGGGCUACAAGGCCCAGCCCAAUUUAGAUUCCAAGCAAAAAGAGAGAGAGCUCGCAGCCCAUCAGGACUCCGACUCGCACCCGAGAUCCAGGCCCGCCCACUCGGACUCCGACUCGCACCCGAGAGAGCCCUUCGUCUACCUACAUAGGACGAGACGCGCCGCCGCCUCCUUCCCCCCAAAUCGAAAGCUCGGGUUCGAAGCAUCCACACCCCCAAAUCCCUCGGCGAAGGCGAGAUCAGGCGAGGCGGGUCCGCAUCGAUGGAGGGUUACGGCCCCAAGGCCGCGGAGGCGUCCGGCAAGGAGGGUGCCAUGGCGCGGGGCACCACCAAGAGCCUGAAGGCGGCGGCGGCCGCGAUCGGGCCGCACGGCCUGUUCGCGGGGUACUCCGCCAAGGGGAAGGCGGACCAGGAGACGGCGGCAUCCGCUGUGGAGAAGGCGUUUGCGAUGUCGGCGCCGGCGACGGCGAUGGCUCAGAAGGCGAUGGAGGCGGCGCAGCAGGCGGCUGUGCUAGCGGCGGCGCCGUCGAAGCAGGCGGACGCGGAAAAGCAAGCGAAGGAGGCCAAUCAAGCAGAGGAGGAGGAGGUGGGGGGGAGGGAGGAGGAGGAGGAGGUGGUGGAGGUGGAGGAGGAGGAGCAGGAGGCUGCUGCUGCUAUUGAUGCUUAUGCCACUGAUAGUGAAGACGAGGAGGAUGGGAUGACUUCCAUGGAGUACAUCAUGACCUACAAGGAGCUGCCGCCGUUCGAGGUGGAGCUGAUCAUGCAGAAUCCUGUGCAGCGCACUCUCUUUGCUGACACCGAGAUGUACAAGGCCCUGAUCGCAGACCCCUCCACGACGCAGGAAGACAUCGACGAUGCUUCCUACGAGCACGAGGAGAAUCAGAACAUGAGGAUCCGGUUCCAUGAUUGGGUGCGCAGCGAGUACGAGGCCAAGGGCUACGUUGCUGUCAGUGAUGAGUACAUCGCCAGGAGGGCUCGCACAGAAGAGUUCUCCAGGAAGCUGUGGGAGGAGGGGUUUUCUGAUUCUGACAGUGAAGACGACGUCGAGGAGGGUGCCCACUGACUGAACUGAGAUGAGGAUCAAUUUGUCCGUGCCGUUCCGAACCUAUGCCAUGCAGUGAAUUCGGUUUUUGGUGGUAACCAUGGAUAAUCCAUGUUUAGUUCACCUCCAAAUUCCAACUUCAACACUAUGCAAAAAAAAGAUUUCCCAUCACAUCAAACUUGCGGUACAUGCAUGGAGUACUGAACAGAGACAAAAUUAAAAACUAAUUGCACAGUUUUGUUGUACUUUGCGAGACGAAUCUUUUAAGCCUAAUUAGUCAAUAUUUGACAAUAAUUCACAAAUACAAACGAAAUGCUAUAGUUGCGCUACGGUAAUUUUGGUUGUCCCAAGUUGGGCAAGUAAACAAGGCCGGCUGUUUGGCGAUAAGUUGGUGCUUUCCGGAGUAAUAUUGUUUACUAUGCAUUGAUUUAUGUCUCUUGAAACUAUCUCAUGCUUUGUUUGGUCAUAUUCAGAUAACACUUAUCGCAUUGUGCACCAAUCAUAAUUUUAUUUUCGGUCUUGCCUUAUGGUUAGUGGGGAGCUCAGCUAGCGUUCCUAAAUCAUGUUUUGCAUGGGGGCAAAAUGUUUGGCAUGGCUUCUUCAGCUUUUGCGGAGCACACAGCUCUGCACUCGUGAAGUCGUGAUGAUCCUAUCCCACGCGGACCUGCAUUCUUGCUACACAUAACCCAUCGAUAGUUUCGGUUUUCAGAAAUCCGCAACAAGGCAGAGAGCACACGCUUUCCAGGUAUACCAAGCAGCGAAUAUAAUCAAGAGUAUUUGAGCAAAUCUGAGCUCUGAAGUAGAUGCCAUUCUAUCCAAAGAUCACAACACGCUACGGUGCGACAGUCACAAGCCCAAAACACAAGUAGCAAACUCCUGCCAAUCCUUCAAUUGAGGAUAAAAUUACAUAUAAAUCCAAACAACAAGUGACAAUGUCAACUAAAUUUCACUUCACAAAAAAUAGAAUCUACAAUGACGACCGACUAAAACCGACAAGCACUUCACACAAAAGAAUCUGCAAUGAGUCCAAGCAUACCCAAUAACUGGGAAAACCCCCAAUUCUAAGUCACACGCACACACGAUCAUUUUUCGCAAGAUUCAUCCAUAUUACUGUAUUAUACUAAUGGCAAAAGCACAUGUUCCUUGGAGUUGUAACUUAAAAGAAACACACUAAAUGUCAAGUAGAGAUGGAUAAUGCUACUCAACCAAUAUGAGGACAGUACUGCAAACAGAUGUACCCCAUGAAUAGACCUUAUCCAGAUGCUUUGAAACAGGCAAUGACAAUCGAUUCACAGUUCCGAGCAAGAUGAAAUAGGCAAGGACCGACAUAAACAGCCAAUAACUGAUGUUACCCCAAUCUUAGACUGUCAGUAUUUAAUAUGGCAUGACCAGGCUCAGCCAGAUCCAUUCAACAGAAACCAACACGACAGAAAAUAUGGUAAUACAGCAAUAGGCUACUAGGAAAAACACAUGUUCCUCAGAUUUGCAACUUUGAAAAACAACUCUAACUUAGCAUAGCAGAUAGAGGAUGGUGGCAUUAGUUAAUUAAACCAGGACAAAACCAUAAUAAUAAAAAAAAGUAGACACCCAGGUGAUCCCGAUUCACAGUUCAGAGCAAGAACUAUUCUGCAAUUAAAAUAGGCAAGGACUGACGUGUCAAACAAUAAUCAACAAUAUCCGGAUCACCCUGCAGCGCUAUGCAGAAUAUCAAUACCUCGAUCACCCUGCAGCAUUAUGCAGAAUAGAAUGCUCUUUCUGGUUGGGCAUCACCAUGACAAGGAGCAGCUAACUCUAGCCAACACAAAUCAGCACAGAUGACAGAAGACAAGAGGCACUGCAUAUGCUAUUAGGAAACACAUGUUCCUCGCGACAUUAUAAACUUAGUUCCGAGGUUGUAGCCUAGAUAGUUUAUGGAUGCAAUGAUGGGCACUAAUUAGUUAACUUAGCAACAUCAGUCCUCACUCCUCAAACUGGUUGCAACGAGAGAUGAUGGCACUAGUUAAUUAACCACACCAUGAGGACAGAACUUAUUGCACACAUAAAACAUAGACCAUAUAGACUAGACCACAUAGACCAGCCGGAUGUCAUCAAGUUGAGGCCACGCAUUCCCCUCUCAGCUCUCCCCGGUCUUCAUUCCAUGGAUACAAAAGCGUCGACCCAUUCGUCCAGUCCCGCUUCCGCGGCCACGCGGCACAGGACCCUCUGAGCGAUGUAGUCGUCGUCGACCUCGACGUAUCCCUUCUCCUCCAACUCCGCGCGCAUCCAGGCCUGAAGCUUCUCGAACCUGGCGAAGGUGCGCUUGCUCGACUCGGCCUGGUCCCGGUAGACCUCGUAGGUCUUUUCGAUGAACUCCUGGGGGUAGAUCUUGCCGGGGUGGUUGACCAUCCGGGCGUAUUCCUCGUCCGGGUCCACGAAGAACUCCUGCUUCAGUGACAGGAUGCACUUGACGUACUCCUCCGAAAGCCGCAGCCGCCCUUCCUUGCGGCUUGUGUCGUCGGCUUCCGCCGCUGCCGCCGGUGCCACGUCAGCAGCGUGCUUCUCCCCAUCGUCCACGCCUCCCGCCACCUCGGCCGCAGAAACAGCAGCCGCCGCCGCCGCCGCCGUCGCCUUCCCCGCCUCGGAUGAGACGAUCGCCCCGAUGAGCUUGUUGGAGAGCUUCCUCACCGGACGACCCUUGGCCGCCUUGCUCCCGAUCGCCACCGCAUCCUCCGGCACGCACCCGUCGACGGACCAGAUCCGCGCCGCCAACUCCGCGUCCAUGGCGGCGCGCCGCACCUGCAGGCCCCCCUCGUCGCCGGACGGCUCCCCCCCGACGGAUCUGCUCCGCGGCGCCCCCCUCGCGCCCUUGCCCUUGGUGGUGCCGCGCCUCAGCAUCGCGCCCUCCUCGCCUGAUCCGACCCUCCCUCGCUGAGGAUUUCGGGACGGAUGCUUCGGGGAAUUUGGAAACCCUAGGUUUCGAUGGGGACAAGCGGCGGCGGCUGCGGCGGGUCUCGCGGCAUAUUUGUGGGGGGCAGCGGCGGUGUUGGGUCGGGUUGGUUUCCAACCUCCAAAUUGGUUGGGCCAGCGCGGGCCCAACUAUUUUUAAGAAACACGGCCCGGCCCAACGAAAUGUCCAGAUUAGGAAGCGUUUCAGCUCUCUCUCGCUCGCUUACCGCAAUUUUAAGCAACAACAAUUUAUGUCCUAAAAAAAAUCAACAACAAUCUGCUAGUAACCAGGAGAGGCAUGUUCUGAUGAAACUGAAACUGAACGAGGAUGAGCCGUCACCAUCGAUGAAAGCUCUGACGAAACUGAAGAACCAGGAGCAGCGGCAGGAUGAUGUUCCGACGAAACUGAAACUGAACGAGGAUGAAGUGGAGAGGAUUUGGAGAGGAUUCUUUUAACUUGUAAGGUCUUCUUCAUGAGUCGUGACGUUUCCUCAAUCCAUGAAAGAAGACCUUGUAGGCAGCAGCUUCAUUAUCUUUGGUUACUUUUAACUCACCAGGACCCCAUGGGCCUUCCAGUACUAUGAUGGCUGAUGCUAUCUGACUCUGAGUGGUUUGCAGAGGCAAGCACCGAUUGUUUUCAGACUCCUGGAGUUCUACUACUGUGUUGGUCAACCAGUCGGAAUGUCCAGUCUAGUGUUGGCCCAGGAAAUCAUCUUGCAAAACCGCACUCCUAGGCUCCCACCAAAUCCAUGGAGCUAGUCCAGCAUGUUUUGCAGCAAAAAGACCAAGCUUGCUUGCAAAAGAAUGGCCGACUAAUUUGAGAGGCAAAUCAACGGCAGCCAGUAAUAUCUCUACUAAAAAAAAA